UAUAGGUAGGAGGUCUCCUGUCCAAUUACACCACUUGAAGGUCCCCUAUUGAGGAGAGUGCACUAGCCAAUAGCGGGUGGCCUAACGAAGGUCCAAUCAAGUGGUUAAGGAUGGAUGACCUUUUCCCUAGGUAGUACGAAGCAUGCAAGUGAUUGGUCAUUGAGAAAUCAUAUGAACGAUAUAAGAUGGAGGGCCAUCCAUGUGUGUUUCCUCAAUCGCUUUUCAUGUUACCACAUGUCUAAGCCGAGGUAGUAGUAUAACAAUCUUGAAUGUCAAAUUCUUUGAAACCUUUGGUUAACACAGUCUAUCCCUUUUUCACCUUCAUCCUUACCCUUUCAAAAGAACCUUAAGGGUUGAAAUGCCUACCCUUGAAGCAAAUUCCCUAGCACAAACCUAGUAGUUUUCUUGAUUUCCUAUUUUGCAAUUGAAAAAAAAUAGAGAUAGAGCAAGGCAACUAAUCCAAGUGUCAUGAUUCGUGAGUGAGCAAGGCCUUAUCAAGCCUAAAAUCAAGCAAACACGAGACUACAAAGCUACAAGAUUCUCGAAGUGCCCCAAAAGACUUUAGAACCAUGUAGAAUAUUUUUGGAAGCUCUAGAACUAUCCGUUCAUGCAUAGAAUUUAAUGGAGUUAAGUGGAAAUGUUCUAGAAUGCGAUAUUGACCAUUUAUUGUAAUUAAUUGUAACCGUUGGAUUGAACGGGGCUUACUUAUAUAAGGAGAGGCUCUCCUCCCUCAUUUGUACAAGCUACCUUUGAGAGUUAAUAAGAAUACUUCCACAUUAUCCCAUAUUCUCUUGUUCUAUCUAAGUUCCCUAAGUGUGCUAAAGUCUCUCCCAAGCUAGGACUAAAGGCUGACUUAGGCUUGUUGCAAAAGAAUCGAGUCUAAAGUCAUACGUGAUUGGAGCUAAAGUCUCGACCCAUGACACAAUGCAAUCCAACAAGGAAUAAAAAUUAGGGAAAACACAAAACCUACAAUUCAUGAGAAUCGAAGGAGCAAGUCGUUGGCUUUGCGAGAAGAUCGAGCAGUGAAUGGCGUUGAUGAAAUGCUUCAUUGGCCCAAUUUUAGUCAAACUAGAUUUGGAAAGCUUAAAGUGACUACUAUAAGAUUUGAGUUGUGGUUGAUAGUGUGCGAAUGAGACUAAAAGCACGCCAACCAAAACUUUGAGUUUAGGUUAGAGAAAACCAGUGACGUUGGAAUAUAAAGAAAAGCAAAGCAUUGCGGCGAAUGACUAGGACAGCUUGGUGAGUUUAAAGCUUUAGGAGAAAAACGAAAUGCGCGUAAAGAGAUGAGUAUAAUGUGACUCACUUAACCUAAAUUGCAUAAACUUCAUUUGCUAUUAUUAUUAGAUUAUGACACAACCACAUAGACGAAAAACAUAAUAUUAUAUAAUAAAUAUAUUUAUAAUUAAUUAAUAUAAUAAAUGAGACUUUGGUUGAUUGGUAAAGUAGAAAUGUUGAAACUAUAAAUGUACGAGUUAAAGUCUUAUUAUAUGUAUACAUUUUUCUAUAUAAAAGAUGUAAAAAGACAAAAAUAUCUUUAAAAUAAUAUAAUUUACUUUGUAAAGUAGAGGUAUUUUCACUUAAAUUGGCAUCAGAUUGACUCGUGAUACCAACUCUUUUAUGUGUUGCAAAUAUAGUAUAUAUUUUUACAUAUAUACUCUCACUUAAUUUAAGGAUGAUGAAAACUUAGUUAAAACCGAAUUAAUCGAUUAAAUUCGAUUCACUUAAUUCAAUUAAAUCAAUUUUAAUUUCAGAUCUAUUUGAGAAAUUAAAUCAAUUGUUUUAAGUCAAUCGGUUUUAAAAUCUAAUUCGAAUUAAUAUAACUUAUUAAAUUUAUAUAUUUUUAAAAUAUAAAUCUCAUUAUACAUAAAAUCUCAAAUCCAAGCUAUCAAAAUUAAAGCCUAAACAAAUUCUAAAAACUGAAAAACCCAAAUACAAAUUUUAAUUCAUUUAAAAAAGAAAAAAAAUUAAACGAAUUAAAAUAAAAGCCUAAACCUAUGGUCAACAGCCUUGAACCAGUAAACCCAACGCCGGUCGGUAACAGCUCAUCGCCUUCAACCUUUCUCGGACCUCGGUUGCCGCCUUGCUCAUCGGCAAACGCCUCGUCACCGGCCACUGUAAGUUCUUUUUGGCUUUUGCCACAUUUAAUCUACUGUAUAUAGCUGUUCAAUCUUUCUUUUAAAACUAUUUAAGCUAUUGAUGUUCAACUUUGUCGUCUUGCUCAUUGCCUACUUUUCUUUUACCCUAAAAUUAGUUUAGGCCCAUUUCGAAAUUCUAUGGUAGUCAUUUGAAGUAGUAGCCAAAUGAAACAGGUAGCUUAUGACUUUCGAUUAGCUUUUCCAAUUAAUUAUGGUUGUAAAUUGAGUUUUUUGUUGCGAUCAAUUAUGGGAAAUUCAAUUAUUUACUACAAAUUUACUUUCAUUAUGGUUUGUUUAAAUUUUAAAAAAAAAAAACAGCUUUUUUCAUGAUAUUUUUUCGGUAUGAUUAACCGACGGGACCGACCGACUAAACUCAGUUGUUAUUCCGGUUUCCGUCGAAGUGAAUUUCGUUUCCGAUUAUAAUUUUUAUAAAGUGGGUUUUGCUUUUCCACUUUGAUGAAGUUAAUGUGUUAAAACUACAGGUUUAAAUUUAUAGUUGCAAUCUUUCAAUGUAAUAGAGGCUUAGCCAUCACUGACUUGUGCUAAUAUGGUAAUAAUUUUUAGGAAAUGUCGUGUUUCCGGUUUUGCACACCGGACUCAUAUUUGAACAUCAAAUACGGAUAUAUGCUUGAUACUGAUAUGUUUUUAAUAAAAUGAAAAUCAUACAUAAUUGUGAGUUACCUUAAUGCUCUAUCGCUAUAAUGCAGGGCAAUAUAUGAGGUUAUGGUUGCCUGGCUAUGAGUUGAUGCCACCGUACUGGGCCACAUUCGAUCAACUCAGUACACCCUGGCCUCAUUCUUGCCAAAACUUAUCCAACUUCAUUCGGAAACAAUCUCGUAAGAUUUUAACCUCAUUGUUUUGUUCAACCACAACUCUUGCAAAGACACUAAAUUCCCCCACAAACAAUGUCAAUUGUUUCACUCUCUAGAUUGAUUUCACUUUCAAUUCACCCUAAACAAAGCAAAAUUUUCAAUCUUCAAUUCAGCUCGGUCUCCUCUGCCAACAAAUUUUUCACUCUUUUAGAGAAAAAACCAAGCAAUAUAGAGAAAACCUUAGCUUUAGUCAAUGCCAAAUUGGACCCAAACUGUGUUUGUGAGGUGUUAAAAAGAUGUUCUUUUGAUAUAUCUCUAUCUCAAAUAGGUUUAAGGUUUUUCAUUUGGGCAGGUCUUCAAUCAAAUUGUAGGUAUAGUUCUUAUAUGUACAACAAAGCUGCUGGAUUUUUGAAAAUUAAGCAAAACCCAUUUCUUGUUUUGGAUGUUAUCAAAGCUUACAGAAUGGAAAAGUGUUCAGUUAACCUUAAAAUGUUUAAGGUUGUUUUGAAUUUGUGUAAAGAAGCUAAUAUUGCCGAUGAAGCUUUGUUGCUAUUGAGGACAAUGCUUGAAUUUAAUUUACGUCCGGAUAUUACUGCUUAUAAUGUGGUUAUCAGGCUACUUUGUGAGAAAGGGGAUAUGGAUAUGGCUCAUAAAUUGAUGAAAGAGAUUGGCUUGAUUGAUCUUUAUCCCGAUAUGAUGACUUAUUUUGCAAUGAUCAAGGGCUUCUGUAAUGCUGGUAGAUUGGAGGAGGCUUGUGAGUUGUUUUAGGCUAUUAAGGGGCAAGGGUUUUCUCCAAAUGCUGUGGCUUAUUCAGUGCUUCUCGAGGGUAUUUGUAAGUACAGGAGUACGGAAAAGGCAUUGGAAUUAUUAGGGGAGAUGGAGAAAGCAGGUGGGAAUUGUAGUCCGAAUGUAAUCACAUAUACAUCUGUGAUUAAAAGCUUUUGUGAGAAGGGUCAAACAAUAGAGGCAUUGAGGAUUUUGGAUAGAAUGGAAGCUUGCCAGUGUAUUCCUAACCGUAUAACUGUUAUUAUUUUGAUCACGGGUCUUUGCGCCGAGGGACAUGUCGAAGAAGCAUAUAAGUUGAUCGAUAGAGUUGCCGGACGUGGUGUUUCCAAUAGUGAUUGCUACAGUUCUCUUGUAUUGGCUUUGAUUAGGAUUAAUAGACUCAAUGAGGCAGAGAAGCUCUUUAGGAAAAUGUUAGUAAGUGGGGCUAAACCUAGUGGCAUUGCUUGUAGUACCAUGAUUAGGGAGAUCUGUCGUGAGGGACGAGUGCUAGAUGGUUUUUGCUUAUACAAUGAAAUCGAGCGGAUGCAAUACAUUUCAUCCAUCGACACUGACAUCUAUUCUAUUCUUUUGGUAGGCUUGUGUCGGCAAAGCCAUUCGGUUGAAACUGUGAAGCUUGCUAGGUUAAUGCUUAGAAAAAGGAUUUGCUUAGAAGCUCCGUAUGUUGACGAAAUCAUCGAACAUCUGAAAAACUCUACAGAUAAGGAGCUAGUUACUCAACUCAGUAGAAUUGCAAGUUGAUAUUCUUGAACAACUAUUUAUUGUACUGUAAGCUUCUUUCCAGGGUUUUAUAAUAAUCAAAUUAAAUUACUGUUUUUGUUAUAUCACAUGUUAUAUAGAUCAAAGAGAACUAUCCACUGUCCUUUCAAGGUUUCUAUCCCAUUGAAUUUGAACUUCCAACUUUCUUUUUCAAUUCCAUUGUUUCUCGAUAGGGAUUUUUUAUUUUGUCCCUUCUAUUAAAAUUGGGUAAGUUAGUCCUUAUGCAUUAAAUCGAAGAACAGACUAGUCUUUCUGUUAAAAUUUGUAUUUAUUUUUAUUGUUAAAAAUUGGUUAAUGUACAUUAGAGUGAGUACCACAUAGCGUCACUUGUAACUGUUUUAUUAUUUCAUUAAUUUUAAUAAUAGAAAUAAAUGAUUAUUUUAAUAUUCAUGAUACUUAUAUUCAAUGAUGAGUUUACAACCUUUUCAUAAUUAUUUAGACCAAACGUGUUGAUUGUGCAAAAAGUAAAUCGAAAUCAUUGAACUUCUUAUAUAUAUAUAUUAUUGAAUUGAUACCAUUAAUAGCCUUUUUUGGAAUAAAAUUCAACUCUACAGUAAUACAAUUAUGCGACAACUAGUUGAAAUCAAUCAAAAUCCAGAGAAAUUGAGGUGAGGAGGACCACUUACCCCUACACUAGGCUUUAUUGUUUUAGGUUUUAACUUUCUUAUUGAAGGUAUUGAGUCCCUACACCUCCUUUAACCACAUUUGAUUGGAUAUACGCUUAGAGGCGGAGUUAGAAAAUUUGUUGAGGGGGUCGGAAUAAAGUUGUAUAUUUUUAUAAUAGUAAAAGUAAAAUUUUACUAUUUUAAUAGUUUAUAUACUAAUUUUUUUCUCAUUCUUGAGGGGCAAAGUGUAAUUUUAUCAUAUAUUAAUUUAAAUUUUUUUAAAUUAUAAAAGGAUUAAAGGUGAUUUCAACCCUAUAUACGCUGAAGCAUGAACGAAGUUAAAAAAUUAAUUUAAAGAAAGUUAGAUAUGAAUUAUGAAUUAUUAGAAGAAUUAAAGUACAAUUUUAUCAUUAUAUUAAAAUAUAAUUUUUCCUAUUAAUUAUAUUUUUCCCGAUAAUUAUUUAAGUUUUAAAAUUUUAUAUUUUGGUCAUUUAUUUAUUUUUAGUUAUUUUCAUUAAAUCGAAUUUAGCAUAUAAGAAAGGGAGAUGUUAAAUGAUUGAGGGUAUAAUUUUAGCAAAAAAAGUCUUUGUAUGUAAGAAAAUGUUUGAGCAAUCUUUUUCAGGGCGUGUGCAUACCUGACCCUGCAAUUGCCAUGCAUGCAUUAAAUGAGCUCUGAGGCAGCUAGCUUUUUAAUUAGAUUUUCAAUUUUUUUAUUCUUAGAAGCUUUAAUUUAUAGAUAUUAUUUUUACAUAUAUAUGUGUCAAUUUUAAUUAAAUUUAUUGUUUAUAAAAAUGUAAUAAUUAAUUAUUAAUUUCAUAUGGUUAAUUAAAAGAAAAUUAUUAGUUUUUUUUAAUAUAUAUACGAGUAUAUUUAUAGUGAGUGUGAUAGUAACGAAAGGAAAUUGUUAUUUUCUGAUAUUUUUAAUUAGUUUAUUUAAUAAUUAUUUUAUAUUUCAUUUUGAAAAUAAAAUUUAUCAUAGCAACUUUGUUUUAUAAUGAAGGACGAUAUCUAUCAAUUUAUGAUAGGGUAGUCGUUUAUACUUGAAUCAGUGAAUGUUGGUUUAAAUAUUCAUUUAACCUUCGAAUUUGUCAUGUUCUCUUAAGUUGGUACUUAUAGUUUUUUGUUUCUAUUAAGGGUUUUGGUAUUUAAUAUUGCAACAAAAAUAUCAAAACCCUUGAGGGAAUGAAAAUUUAGAUACCAACUUGGGACAAAAAACCAUAAGUAUCAAUUUGGGAGAAAAUGAUAAAUUCAAAAGCUAAAUGAGUAUUUAAGCCAAAAACAUUAUAAAAAGAAAUAUAUAUACAUAUAAAUCAUUUUUCCAAUAUUAAAUUAAAAAAGAAAAAUUUCUGUCCAAGUCAAAAACAUGCAUUAAGAAUUGGAUUGGUGAUUAAAUUCAUCAUAUAAUCGAUUUUCAGUUUGAUUAAUUUGAUUAUUAGUUUAAUUUUAAUUAAAUAAAUUAUUAAUAAUUUUAAAAUUUUAAAAAUAAUUAUAAAAUUAUAAAAUCAAUUCAAUCAUUAAUUUAAUCAUUUUUUUAUCCUAUUCAAUUGGUUCUAAGCAAUUUAUUUAAAAUUUAUUUCUUUUAUCUAAAACCACACAAACGAUCAAUUAUUUGUGUUUGUUGAAAUAUUAAAUUAUACCUGAUUUGAUUUUCCCUUCAAAAAAUUCAAUGAAUUAAAAGUACUUUUUUAUGUGUGAUCCAGCUAAAAUAUACAAAAUAGAACUUUCUAUAUAUUAAAUUUGAUUUAUAUGAAGAAAAAAAUGUCAUGUAGGUCUGAUUUGAAAUUUCACAAUAAUGUUGGGUCUCAAAUCCCAUAUAAUAUUCUUAUCAUUAUCCCAUUAAAAUAAUUGAAAAUUUUGCAGCAAUUAGAUUAAAAUUUAAUUAAUCUUCUCUAUAAUUUCUCAUACAAAUUAAGUUUAUACAAGCAUUUGGGUUGAGGUAAGUUUUUAAAACAGUGAUAUUGCUCGUGUCCAAAUUAAGUUAUCUUAUAUAUUUGGAUAUGCAAAUCCAAAAAGACACGAGCUGAUUUUAUGAAGAUUUAUCUCAAUCAUUUGUAUUCUUAUAUUAAGGGUAAUUGAUUUGAUAAAAUUUAGACAGAUUAAGAUCGAUUAAAUGGUACUUUAUAAAGAUGGAUUCAUAUUCUAAAUAUGGAAUUCUUGUUGGAAAAGAUUGUUGAGGCAAUAUGUGAGCAAUGUCUCAUGUAGUGCCACAGUCGGUGUUCAUUGCUUUUGGAUCUACACAAGUUACAUAACUUGGCUUAUUAAUGUCGACAAUUCUUUAAACCAAAACAGUUGAGUCAUGACUUAGUGAAUAUUAUGAACAUGUGUUGACCCAUAUUUGAAGAUCAAUUUUGUGGAGCUACAAAUCAUUGAAGUUUGGACUGAUCUAGAUCAAAUAAAUUGGAUCCCUUGAUUUAUGAAGAUUGGCUUGCAGUUAUGUCUUGUAGAUUUUUGUUUUAUUUUGAACUUUACGAAUAUAUUUGUAAAGUCUUUUUAUGAAAUUAUUUUAAUGGGAUCUUAUUUGUAAUUAAUAUUUAUCUUCACAAGUCUUAAACUCAACACAUAAAACCAACCCAUGGCAAUAGCUCAUGAUGAUACUUGAAAGUUUUCCUAAUUUUAACUUCUCUCUCAUGCUCUUUCUUUCUUUCUUUAUUUUUUAAAUUUUUUUAUCAUAGUUAGUUUUUAAAGCCAUUAGAACUUUUUAUUCAUUUGUAAGGUCAAAAUUUGUUAUUAUUAGUCCCUAUAUUAUGUAUAAUUUAUGAAUUUAGUUCUUAUGCUCUAAUUUGGUUAAUUCUAAUUUUUGUACUUUUUAAAUUUUGAAAUUUUAAUCUCAAUCCAAACUAUAGUUAAAUAUGUUAGAUCAAAUUAUGCUAUUAUUCUUGUACUAUGCGUAAAUUAUGGAUUCAGACCAUGUUCUCCAAUUUUAUCAUUUUUAAUCCUUAACUUUUCAAUUAUGAUAUUUUAGUUACGAUUCAAACCAUAACUAUUUUAUCAAUUAACUAAAGUGAUUGACUUUUUUUUUGCUAGGAUUAUGUGGAAAAAAAACAUGUUUGCCAUGUAAGAUUUUAGAAAUAACAAAUUUUGUAAUACCCCAAACCCGGCCCAAACGUUAUUGCUAGAUCUGACGUGUCACAUGGACUUACGACUUAGUAUGCAUUCGUUGGUUUAAGUGAUUGGGGUGGUCUUUGUAAAAACAGCGGUUGAAUGAAAAGCUGGUUUAUCAAUCUUUAGGCUAUCCAUUUGUUGUGCUUGUUGAGUCUUGGAAAACGUUCAUUAAUUUUGAAAACCCGCGCAACCUAACACUAGCAGUUUCGACAUAGUAUAAAUAUAAUCAGAAAAUAAAACCAUAGCGGAAAAAGAAAUUUAAAUAGCGGCCUUAUUACAACUUAAAACCCAAAAUUAAAUUAGAAUAUAAAAUAAUAAAAAUAAACUAACUUGGAAAAACCAACUUUGCAGAUGAUGUGGUCACUCCGAAUCCCUCACAGCUCCAAGCCCACUAUGGUUGGGGAUUUCCUGCAGAGAUGAAAAUAAAGGGUGAGUUCGGUAAACUCAGUGUGUAACAUAACCCAACCAUAGCCCAAAACAGAUCAAACCUUAGAGUCACACUUAUCUAGGCAUUGGCCCAGUACAGAAAUCAGAAUGAAACCCAUAGGCCCAUAGCAGAUACAGAACAAAUAUAUCAUGAAUGCAGAAAUCCUAACCCAGAGCCAUCCAUAACACCCCCGUAUCAGCCUUACACCAUGUGGGAAGACUACUCGACCCACCCAACCGCUACACACCACAGAAAUUGCAACGAAGCUGCCAGAUAUUGUGACGAAGUCACCAGAUACAGAUAUUGUGGCUAGGCCACCAGAAUAGAUAUAUAUAUGUGGCAAAGCCACCAGAUUGCAGCGAGGCUGCCAGAUAUUGUGACGAAGUCACCAGAACAGAUAUAUGUGGCGAGGCCACCAAAUUGCAGCGAGGCUGCCAAAUAUUGUGACGAAAUCACCAGAACAGAUAUAUGUGGCGAGGCCACCAGAUUGCAGCGAGGCUGCCAGAACGCUUCCUCCAUCAAUAUAAACCCAUGUCCCAUGCAACAGAAAUAAUAUGUCAUGGCAUACGCAUACAGAAACAGAACAUCAUGCUUUUCAGAAAAAAUAACCCUAGGGGUAAAAUCGUAAUUUUGCAUGCAUAAGGGUAUUUCAGUAAUUAUUACCUAUUGCUAAGGUUUCAUGCUCAUUCUAAAGUUUACCAAGUAAUCAGAAGUACUUACCUCGUCUUUUUACCAAAGUGAACCCGUUAGCUCAUUGGCCCGUUUUCGGCCCAUUAAGCCCAAAAAUACCGUUAUGCACGAAAAUGCACACUCUGCACUCUAAUCAUCCAAAUGCACCAUAUUCAUUAACAACUGUCUCACGAGCGCUCGCACGCUCGUGAGUUCACAAAAUACCAACGUUUCGAUAUUUCGGCUUUUACCGAUUCAGUCUAAGGGAGGGUGUCGUUUACACACCUGGUUAAUGACGAUAUCUCCCACACGAUAAUCCUACAAUCAAUCACUAACACAUUAGACUUACGAAUUAAUGAUAACUAACAUAAAUCCACGUCAACUAACCCAAUCAUCACACAAGUUAGUCAUUUACACACGAGGGGCAAAAUAGUCAUUUAAUACCCUAGGGGCAAAAUGGUAAUUUUACCCCACAAGGGUAUCUCGGUAAUUCUACCCUACAGGGGUAUUUCGAUAUUUCUACCCUACAAAGGUAUUUCGGUAAUUCUACCCUACAGGGGUAUUUCGGUAAUUCUAUCCUACAGGGGUAUUUCGGUAAUUCUACCCUACAGGGGUAUUUCGGUAAUUAUAAAACUUAUCCACUUGGGCCUACAGACCUAUUGAGACCAUAUGGCCCAUUUCAGCCCAUCGCGGCCCGAAAUAGCCGUUCUACUGCUAGAGUAAUGAGAAAUACACACCUGUUAGGAGACUGCAGUUAAUCCGCGCUCCAAACACUCUUAGCUGACGCCCAACCCAAACGAACACGUCACAAAGCGAAAGGGAUCAGCCAAGAAGGGUAUGCCUACUCCCCUCAUGGUUUGCUCUAUUUAAAGCCAGCUCUCCAUCUACUCUUCUGUUAGCUUCUCGAUGUGGGAUCCCUUCAUCAUUAGAGUUUAAAACUAACACCAACUCUUGCCGUCCCAACAUAGCAAAAUAAUCAACCUUUGCGUGCCAAGGGAUUCAAACCAAAGUCCUCUCACAUGCCAACUCACGCCACCACCACUACGCCAUCAACUCAUUUGUGUCAUAAAUCCAACACAUUAAACUUUAAAGCGCACCUACUUGCUACCAGAUUUAUUGAAAAGAAAAACCAAAAUAUAUUGCAAGAGCCAAGACUUGAACCUUGGACCCCUUGCUUCCUCUAUGGCGUCACUUCCUUGUCUACUAAGUGGCGCCACCUUGCCACUACACCACACUCCUUUUUGUGUCAUCUUUUACCUCUUUACUCUUAAAAGCCCAAACGCCAAUUGCAUCACAUGUUCAUAAAAUUAAAAUUCCGAAGACUACCACGAAUUUAACUUAAGUUUGGGCCUUCCAAAGGCCCACUAACUUGCUAAUAUAUAUAUUAACCAACCAGAACACACACAAAUUUUAAAAAUCACAGAAACACAGAAAACCCAAAAAUUGAGGCGCUACAACUCUACCCUCCUUAAAGAAAUUUUGUCCUCAAAAUUUUACCUGAAUCAAACAGAUGAGGAUAUUGUUGACGCAUCGCCACUUCUGGCUCCCAAGUAGCUUCCUCUCUGCCAUGAUUACGCCACAGCACAUUUACUAUCGGAACUGAUUUCUUCCUCAAAAUCUUAACAUCUCGAUCCAAAAUCUGCACAGGCUCUUCCUCAAAAGUCAAGUCUGUUAGCACCUCGAUCUCUGCAACCGGCACAACAUGAGUAGGGUCAGAACAAUACCGCCUUAAUAUGGAGAUGUGAAAGACAUCAUGAAUCCUAUCCAACUCUGGAGGUAGCUCCAACUGAUAAGCCACUGGACCCAUUCGCUUAAGAAUCCGAUAAGGCUCAAUGAAUCGUGAACUUAACUUGUCUUUCCUCCCAAACCUUAAUAUUUUCUUCCAAUGUGAAACCUUCAAGAAGACCAUAUCACCCACAGAGUACUCAAUUUUCUUACGCUUCAAAUCUGCAUAUGACUUCUGUCUAUCAGACGCUUCCUUCAACCGGUCUCUAAUCAACUUGACCUUAUCCUUAGUAUCUGCCACUAACUGAGGUCCAAGAACCUGUCGUUCACCCAACUCGGUCUAACAACUAGGUGUACGACAUCUUCGCCCAUACAGUGCCUCAUCAGGAGCCAUUCGAAUACUUGCCUGAUAACUGUUGUUGUAUGCAAACUCUGCCAAUGGUAAGUAAUCCUCCCAACUGCUUCCAAAGUCGAUAACGCAUCCCCUCAACAUGUCUUCCAAAAUCUGAAUAACCCUUUCCGACUGACCAUCAGUCUGAGGAUGAAAGGCUGUACUAAAGUUCAACCGCGUACCCAACACCUCAUGCAACUUUUGCCAAAACCGAGAUGUAAAUCUAAGAUCUCGAUCAGAAAUAAUCGACAUUGGCACUCCAUGAAGUUACACUAUUUCCGCCACAUACAAUUUAGCUAACUUCUGAAGUGAAUAAUCAAUGCGGACAAGUAUGAAAUGAGCAGAUUUGGUCAACCUAUCCACAAUUACCCAAAUCGAGUCCUUCUUCGACGGUGUCAAGGGUAACCCACUCACAAAAUCCAUGGUUACCCUCUCCCACUUCCGAAGUGGUACUUUCACUAGCUGCAAAAGUCCAGAAGGUAAUUGAUGUUCAGCUUUCACUUGCUGACAAGUUAGACAUUUUCCCACAACUUCUGUUACCUCUCGCUUCAAUCCAGGCCACCAAUACAACUCCUUUAAGUCGCUAUACAUUUUACUCCCUCUAGGAUGCAUAGCACACAGACCUUCAUAAGCUUCUUUCAGAAUUGCUUGCCUCAAGUCAGAGUCCUUCGGAAUACAAACUCUACCUCGGUAACACAGAACUCCCUCACUGUUCAGUCCUAACUCAGAAGUAUCCCCAUUUUUAACCUACCGGAAUCGAGAAACCAGGGACUCAUCCCUCGACUGUUUUUCCUUAAUCUCAUCCACCCAGGUCGGCCUAACUUGUAGUUCUGCUAACAGACUACCGUCGUCAUACAGACUCAAACGAGUAAACAUGGCUCUCAGAUCAGAUACAGUUCUACGACUUAAGGCAUCAGCUACCACAUUAGCUUUGCCUGGGUGAUACUCAAUCGCGCGGUCAUAAUCCUUAAGCAAUUCUAUCCAUCUCCGUUGCCUAAGGUUCAGCUCUUUCUGAAUCAGCAAGUACUUAAGACUCUUAUGAUCAGUGUAUAUAAUACACCUUUCUCCGUACAGGUAAUGUCUCCAAAUCUUAAGCUCAAAGAUUACCGCUGCCAACUCCAGAUCAUGAGUAGGAUAGUUAACUUCAUAUGGUUUAAGCUGUCGCGAUGCAAAAGCAACCACUUUACCCUCUUGCAUCAGCACACAGCCCAACCCUACAUGUGAUGCAUCACUGCAUAGGGUAAAAUCUUUUCCAGACUCUGGCUGAAUCAGAACAGGUGCCUCGAUCAGAACUUUCUUCAGCUUCUCAAAAGAUUCCUGUUGUUUCUCAGUCCAAACAAACGAUACUCUCUUCCUUAUAAGCUUUGUCAAAGGCGCUGUCAUAACAAAAAAUCUUUCUACAAACCUUCUAUAGUACCUAGCUAAACCCAGAAAACUUUGAAUUUCCGACACUAACCUCGGUGGCUUCCAUUCCAGAAUCACUUUAAUCUUUCGAGGGUCCACCUUGAUCCCUUCAGCAAAGACAACAUGCCCCAAGAAAGUUACCUCUCUCAACCAGAACUCAUACUUAUUGAAUUGCGCAUAAAGCUCCUUCUCCUUCAGCACUUGCAGCACAAUACGAAGGUGCUCAUCAUGCUUCUCAUCAGUUUCAGAAUAAACCAGAAUAUCGUCAAUAAAGACGACCACGAAUCGAUCCAAAUAUGGCUAGAACACUCGAUUCAUCAGAUCCAUAAAUGCCGCAGGUGCGUUCGUCAACCCAAAUGGCAUAACCAAGAACUCAUAGUGACCAUAUCGAGUUCUGAAUGCCGUCUUGUGAAUAUCCACCUCCUUAACCCUCAACUGAUGAUACCCAGAUCGAAGGCCAAUCUUAGAAAAUACUGAAGCUCCUCUAAGUUGGUCGAAUAAAUCAUCGAUUCUCGGUAGUGGGUACUUGUUCUUAAUCGUCAGUUUGUUUAACUACCGAUAAUCGAUGCACAUCCGCAUUGACCCAUCUUUCUUCUUUACGAACAACACUGGUGCUCCCCAUGGAGACACACUUGGUCUAAUGAAGCCUCUAUCCAAUAACUCUUGAAUUUGGGCUUUCAGCUCCACCAACUCCUUCGAUGUCAUCCUAUAAGGUACAAUGGACACCGGUACCGUUUCAGGAAACAAGUCGAUUCCAAACUCAACCUCUCGGUUCGGGGGCAAACCUAGAAGCUCCUCUAGAAAAACAUCUUGAAAAUCCUUGACAGUUCUAAUUUUAUCCACUGUCAGAUCCUCGGUUUUCGAUUGGCUUACAAAUGCCAAAUAAGCCUCACAUCCCUUUCGAAUCCACUUCUCGGCUCUCAAUGCCGACACCACAUUAGACAGAUAAUCCCUACGCUCGCCUAUCACCAAAACCUCUCCAUCCUUUGUGGUCUUUAACAUUAUUCGCUUAGCAACACAAUCCAAAGUAGCCCUAUGCUUAACAAGCCAAUCCAUUCCCAAAAUGAGAUCGAAUUCUCCGAAAGGUAGCUCCAUCAGAUCUCCAGAGAAAACUUUUCCUUGAGUUUCUAUAGGCACAUCUCUAUACAGUUUAUCUACCCUAAACAAGUGACCCAAAGGACUUAGUACAGAUACCCCACUCACUCACGGUCUCCUAAGAGCACACACCCAGCGACCCAGAUAUAGCACAUGCAAUAUAUGAAUGGGUAGAUCCAAUAUCUAUCAAUGCAGUGUAUGGCAUACUAGAAAUCAGAAACGUACCAGUUAUAACGUCAGGUGCAUUAUCCUCCUUUCGGUGACGAGCUGCAUACACCAAUGCCGACUGAUGAGCCUCAGCAAAUCCAGCACCCCUACUAGGCGCUCCUCUUCCUCGACCGUUUCCAUUACCACCUCUUCCUUGCCCACGUCCUCUCAGAAACUAUGGUCCACCCCUCACUGGUUUAGCGACCCUCUGCUCUAAAACUUGAACCUGAUCUGGUUCCUAGGGAUAAUCCUUAACCCUAUGCUCCAUAGAUCCGCAUCAGAAACAAGCACCAGAACGUUUCCGACACUCACCCAUAUGCAUCUUCUCACAAUUCUUACAACCCUGCGGUCUAACAGCAUUCAUCGGUACUGCUCGAACUGGCUCUAUUACCCUUGCUCUCUUAACAUUCCUGUUCAUACCACCUGAAAGUCCUGAAUCUCUCCUAAAAUGGUUCUGAUCUUUCUCACGAUUCUGUCUUUCUGUAUGCUUCACUUCCUUAGCUAUCUUAGCUUUCUCCACUAAAGCAGCAAAGUUACGCUCCCUCUGCGGAGCAAUCAGCACCCUAAGUUCAUUUCUCAGCCCAUCCUCGAAGCGUACGUUACGCUCAUACUCUGUAGCGACAAUCUCAGAAGCAUACCGGCUCAGCCUUAGAAACUCAGACUCAUACUUAACCACUGACUUACUCCCUUGGACCAGGUUCAGAAAUUUUUUCCGGCAAGCGUCCACGUAACUAGCCCCAACAUACUUUCCUUUGAAGGCUGUCUUAAAUAGCUCCCAAGUCACACUGCCAGAAGGAGUUCUAUCUCUCACCGUGAGCCACCACUGAUAAGCCACAUCCCUGAGUAACGAUAUGGCUCUCUUCAGCUUCUGCUCCACAGAGCAGUCCAGAUCAUCCAUAAUUCGCUCUGUGGCUUCUAACCAAUACUCAGCCACAUUCGGAGCUACACCAGAUACGCCCCUAAAUAUCUCUGCUCCAUUGGCCUAGAGCCGCUCAGAAAUAGACCCCCGAAUUUCGUUUUCCGUACUUACCCCAGCAACCCUUUCCAAAACUCAGAGCAUUGCUUAGGACAGAGCAUCGUCCCCGGUACCUCGAUCAUGAGACUCUACCUCUGUUGUCGGUGGUACCGGUGCAUCUGCUGCUGGAACAUGUCCUGAAGACGAAGAUUCAGCCUGAGCAUUACCUCAGUCACGGCCACGGCCACUUCCACGAGCUGCUCGUGUACUCAUUUCGUAUUAUCUGGUUAAGAAUUUUAUGAAUCAGUUUAAUAUUUCAGUGUUUAUUACAGAUGUCUUAUGAAUAAUAGUAAUUCAGAGUUUGAGUUUGUUUCCUUUUGCGGUAACCUAGUUACAGUCUCAGUCUACUUAUCAGAGUUUCUAUAGUUCCACUGUUACCCUAACUAAAGUACCAUGAUAAGGUUUUGUACAAGCAUAUAACAGAUAUUUCAAAAACAAUCAAAAAAGCUCAGAAAACUUACAGACUUGGGCCGGAGAUUCGGUGUGCCACCUUCUAAAAAAAAUCUAAUUUUAGAAAACUGAUUUUAAUAUUUAAAAUCACCUAUUUGUAAAGAGAAAAUAUUGGGAACAUUCUCGAAAACAAUUUAUAAUCAAGUUCUAAAAAAAAAUGAUUUUCGAAAAACUUUAUUCAGUGUUUCUUUACAAACUCCCUUUUUUAGACCCAUUCCACAGUCGAGUUGUUGCAACUUGGCUUUGAUACCACUAAAUGUAACACCCCAAACCUGGCCUAGACGUUAUUUCCAAAUCUGACGUGUCACAUGGACUUACGACUUAGUAUGCAUUCGUUGGUUUAAGUGAUUGGGGUGGUCUUUGUAAAAACAGCGGUUGAAUGAAAAGCCAAUUUAUCAAUCUUUAGGCUAUCUAUUUGUUGUGCUUGUUGAGUCUUGGAAAAUAUUCAUUAAUUUUGAAAACCCGCGCAGCCUAACACUAGCAGUUUCGACAUAGUAUAAAUAUAAUCAGAAAAUAAAACCAUAGCGGAAAAAGAAAUUUAAAUAGCGGCCUUAUUACAACUGAAAACCCUAAAUUAAAUUAGAAUAUAAAAUAAUAAAAAUAAACUAACUUUGAAAAACCAACUUUGCAGAUGAUGUGGCCACUCCGAAUCCCUCACAGCUCCAAGCCCACUAUGGUUGGGGACUUCUUGUAGAGAUGAAAAUAAAGGGUGUAACAUAACCCAACCAUAGCCCAAAACAGAUCAAACUUUAGAGUCAGACUUAUCUGGGCCUUGGCCCAGUACAGAAAUCAGAAUGAAACCCAUAGGCCCAUAGCAGAUACAGAAUAGAAAUCAGAAUGAAACCCAUAGGCCCAUAGCAGAUACAGAACAAAUAUAUCAUGAAUGCAGAAAUCCCAACCCAGAGCCAUCCAUAACACCCCCAUACCAGCCUUACACCAUGUGGGGAGACUACUCGACCCACCCAACCGCUACAUACCAUAGAAAUUGCAGCGAAGCUGCCAGAUAUUGUGACGAAGUCACCAGAUACAGAUAUUGUGGCUAGGCCAUCAGAACAGAUAUAUAUAUGUGGCGAAGCCACCAGAUUGCAGCGAGGCUGCCAGAUAUUGUGACGAAGUCACCAGAACAGAUAUAUGUGGCGAGGCCACCAGAUUGCAGCGAGGCUACCAGAACGCUUCCUCUAUUAAUAUAAACCCAUGUCCCAUGCAACAUAAAUAAUAUGUCAUGGCAUACGCAUACAGAAACAGAAUAUCAUGCUUUUCAGAAAAAAAAAAUAACCCUAAGGGUAAAAUCGUAAUUUUGCAUGCAUAAGGGUAUUUCAGUAAUUAUUACCUAUUGCUAAGGUUUCAUGCUCAUUCUAACGUUUACCAAGUAAUCAGAAGUACUUACCUCGUCUUUUUACCAAAGUGGGCCCGUUGGCCCGUUGGCCCAUUGGCCCGUUUUCGGCCCAUUAAGCCCAAAAAUACCAUUGUGCACGAAAAUGCACACUCUGCACUCUAAUCAUCCAAAUGCACCAUAUUCAUUAACAACUAUCUCACGAGCGCUCGCACGCUCGCGAGUUCACAAAAUACCAACGUUUCGGUAUUUCGGCUUUUACCGAUUCAGUCUAAUGGAGGGUGUCGUUUACACACCUGGUUGAUGACGAUUGAUGACGAUAUCUCCCACACGAUAAUCCUACAAUCGAUCACUAACACAUUAGACUUACGAAUUAACAAUAACUAACAUAAAUCCACGUCAACUAACCCAAUCAUCACACAAGUUAGCCAUUUACACACGAUGGGCAAAAUAGUCAUUUAACACCAUAGGGGCAAAAUGGUAAUUUUACCCCACAAGGGUAUCUCGGUAAUUCUACCCUACAGGGGUAUUUCGAUAUUUCUACCCUAUAAGGGUAUUUCGGUAAUUCUACCCUACAGGGGUAUUUCGAUAAUUAUACAACUUAUCCACUUGGGCCUACGGACCCAUUGGGACCAUAUGGUCCAUUUCAGCCCAUCACAGCCCGAAAUAGCCGUCCUACUACUAGAGUAAUGAGAAAUACACACCUGUUAAGAGGCUGCAGUUAAUCCGCGCUCCAAACACUCUUAGCUGACGCCCAACCCAAACGAACACGUCACAAAGCGAAAGGGAUCAACCAAGAAGGGUAUGCUUACUCUCCUCAUGGUUUGCUCUGUUUAAAGCCAGCAGUCCAUCUCCUCUUAUGUUAUCUCCAUCUACUCUUAUGUUAGCUUCCCGAUGUGGGAUCCCUCCAUCACCAGAGUUUAAAACCAACACCAACUCUUGCCGUCCCAACAUAGCAAAAUAAUCAAUCUUUGCAUGCCAAAGGAUUUAAACCAAAGUCCUCUCACAUGCCAACUCACGCCACCACCACUAGGCCAUCAACUCAUUUGUGUCAUAAAUCCAACACAUUAAACUUUAAAGCACACCUACUUGCUUCCAGAUUUAUUGAAAAGAAAAGCCAAAAUAUAUUGCAAGAGCCAAGACUUGAACCUUGGACCCCUUGCUUCCUCUAUGGCGUCACUUCCUUGUCCCCUAAGUGGCGCCACCUUGCCACUACACCACACUCCUUUUUGUAUCAUCUUUUACCCCUUUACUCUUAAAAGCCCAAACGCCAAUUGCAUCACCUGUUCAUAAAAUUAAAAUUCCGAAGACUACCACGAAUUUAACUUAAGUUUGGGCCUUCCAAAGGCCCACUAACCUGCUAAAAUAUAUAUAUUAACCAACCAGAACACACACAAAUUUUAAAAAUCACAGAAACACAGAAAACCCAAAAAUUGGGGCGUUACAAAUUUAACUUAAUUUAACUACUAUCAUUUAGUAUUCACUAAAAUUUCAGAACAUAAAAAAUACAAGAACCAAAAAUGAUAAAUUUAGAGUACAUGGCAAUAAAUAAAUCGAUAAGGAUAAAUAGUAAAAAUUAAUUUUUUUUAAAGAUUAUUAUUAGUUAAGUAAUUUUAAUUUUUCAUUAUUUUGAAUUUUCCCAAAAUUUUCUUUAUUGUUUUAUCCCCCCUCCACCCCUCCAAAACCCCCCGGGGGAUGUGCAUAGAACUAGUCUCAAUAGAUAUCAUUAAUUUCCAUAAUUGAUUAACAUUUCCAUGAAUUGAUAGACAAGAUAGAAAAGGGGAAACUGAAAGGUUUACAGUAUUGUCGAUCAUUUAUUUAAUAAAACAAAAAAAAAUAGUAAAAUUAUAUAUUUAAAACCUUUAAAGUGAUUUAAAUGAAAACUUUUAAAUAGUUAAGUGAUUAUUUAGUAAUUUUUUAAAAUUAAAUUAUCAAAAUAUAAAUUUAUUAAUUUAUUGAUCUUGAGUAUAGUUUACCCCAAGUAACAACGUCAAUUAAAUUUAAGAGGUUCAUUUCUUAAUAUGUCAAAUUUGGUAUACAUAUUAUAAUUUGAUCCAUAUGUUUAAAAUAGGCUCAAUGUUACGUUUGAGCCAACGUUUAUACUUUCGAAAUGACUUGAUUGAUACGAUACUUAUACUAAUUCAAUUAGAAAGUUUCAAAAUUUAGCGACCAAUUAAAAAUCUGAAUCAUUAUUUCAAAAUAUUAACUAUGAUUAGAUUUGUUCAAUGGUCAAUAUACCUACCCUAACUCAAAUUCCUUCUCAAUAAUUAGGAGGAUUCGAAAAAAACAAUCGCUAUACUAGGAGUGAGUUUAUGUAAAAAAAUUUAAAUUUAUUUAAAAUAUAAGUUUAAUUCGAGCCCCAAUAUUCAAAUAUCAACUCAAGUAUGUUUUCAAGCUUAUGAUAUGUUACUUUUCCUUUUAUUUAUGCAUUAUAUCAUAAGAAAAUUAAAUAUGUUAUAUCAUAAUCUAUAUAUUUAAAAAAAGGUAAGUUAUUUAUAUUUAAAAAUUUAGUAAAAAGAUAUAUAAUAGUAGUGACAGAAAUAUAUAAUUAUCAAAUUUUAAUAAAAAUAAUAUAUUUCUUAAAAAGGUUUAAAAAGUUUAGGUAGAAUUAAACAAGUUUAGAUUGAUUAUUUCGAGCCAGACCGAAUUUAAACAACUAUAUAUAAUAUUAAAAUCAUAUAUUUAUCUAGCUCGAACUUAACCUGAUUUGAUUGUAAACACUUCUAGCUACAAUUAACUAAAAUAUUUUUGAAAUCAAAUUGCGACCUUAUGAUCUGGUGGUGUGUAUGAAAUGAAUAGUGAAUACCAAUCAUCUAAUUGGAUCACAUACCUGAUGUUGACAUCAUACCUUUCAAAUAUAGCAUUGUAUGUAGAUUUGUAAAAUAUCGCAUAUUAUACCUUAAAUUAUAUAAGUGAAAAAUUUUAUGUAACAAAUUUUAAAAAAAUUGUACAAAACCAAAUAUAUCUCUGGUUGAAAUGGUAAAGUUAAAAUAGUAGAAAUUAUUAUAUCUUGGUUCAAAUCUCGUGUUUUUCAUCAUGUGUCUAAUUUUUUUAAAUUUAUCAAAAUAUAAAAAAAUAUAAAUACUCUCAAAAUAAUAUUUAUUCAUUUGUAAAAUAAAUGGGUUUGGACCCCUUGCAAGCCUAAUUCCAUCCUAUAUAACACUGUACAUUUACAUAUAUAUAUUGGAUUAUAGGUGCCUAUGAACCGGUUUAGAUUAAGAUUCGAUUUUAAAAAAUUUCAAGUUUGGCUCAAGCCAAUAAAAAUUCCCAUAUCACCAUUUAAAAAAUUAAUAAAAUAUUAAAAUACAUUAUUUUAUAUUAAUAUUUAUAUAAAAUCUAAAAAAAUAUUUAAUUUAAAUUCAGAUUGGAUCAAACCACAUAAGCUAAGUGGGCCAUCCAUAUUAUUAACAACUCUAUAUUUACUCCAAUUUCUAUUUAUGACACUAAAACUUUUAUGUUUAAUCAUUAUCAAGAAAAAUAAAUAAAUAAUCCAAAUUAAUUAUUAAUAUAAGAUAAUGAAAAAAUAGGAAUUGAAGAGCCAUUGGCUUGCCAGCCUCUAAUUAAAGAUGCUUCUUAUUUAUUGUUGCUUUGUCAAUUCCAGCAUUCUCAAUUUACCGGCUAAAAACAAAAUACAUUAAACCUUUUUGUCUACCUAAGCCCUUUUUAUGUUUUUCAAAUAAUUGAGUUUGGGAUUAAUCUACACCUAUUCAUAGAUCGAGUUUUUCGUUUAAAUUCAAUGUUUUGUCCGAUAUUUGAAAAGGUUAAGCUCGUAAAAAUAAGCCUAAACAAAAAAUAAACUCAUUUAAAAUAAGAUUAAAUUUGAGUUUAAACAUUUGAAGUUAGACUUGGCCCAAACCCUUUUUUAUUUUUAAUAUAUAUUAUGUAAACAUUAAAAAUGUUAGAUGUCUAUAUAUAAAAUUUUUAUAAAUAAAAUAAAUUAUUGAAUAAUAAAUUAAAGAUAAUAUGAACGAGUUUAAAAUGAAUUUAGACCAGAUAUAUAUAAAUAUGAGUAGAUUUAAAUAAAAUUUUAAAUUUAUAUUUUAGACUAAGCGAAUUUGGACAAACAUACAUUAUGUUGAUAUUAUACUUAAAACUUAAUCCGAACUUGAAUCGGCCCACCCAUUUAAUAUAUAUUAUUUGAUGGAUUACAUUAUUAAGAUAGAACCGGCAAAAGCUAUACACUUCGCAAUUAUUUGAUAUACUUUCCAUUAAUAUUAAGAAAGACUGACUUUAAUUUUGAGUUUGACAAUCAAACCAUAUGAUAAGGACUUGAUUGGCUUGGAAAGUGCUAGGCUUAUACUAAAAAUGUUUAGGUAAAAAUAUCUAUUUAGUUCCUCUCAAUUUUAAUAUCGAGCAGAUUGAUCUCUUAAAAAAAUUAAAGUAAUUUAAAUUUUGUUAAUUUUAAAAGUGAGUAAUUGAAGAUAAUUAAUUACAAAAUUUAAUAUUUUUUACUAAUUGUACAUAAUUUUAAUUAAUAUAAUAAUAAAUUAGGCCCUUUACCACCAUGGGCAUUAAUAAUGUUAUAGAAAUUUCAAAAAUAGUCCCAUAUCUUUGUUUAAGUUUACAUUAAGUCAUUGAUGUUUCAAUUGUUAUGAUUUGAUUUUGAUUUUUAUCAAUUGAUAUCAAUUUGAUUACUGGUCCGUUAAUGGCCGUUAAUAGUGUUAAUACAAAUCUGACAUUUCACAAGUUGUACCAUUAAAUGCGGCUUCCAUGUCACGGAAAAGAAGAAGGAGUAACAGCUCAAAAAAAGAGAAGAACUUGCGGAGAGAGAUUAGAGAAAUGAAGAAAAAGAGAAUAAAAAGUCAAGAAAAAGAGAGCAAAUGGAAAUCAAAAGGGGAAGAGAAAACCCAUUUCGGGUUGUUGAAUUCUCGGGGCUCUAGUUAUUUGCUCGCAAAUCCAAUGGUGAAAAGCCUCAUUGGACGGAGGAGAGGCACAUAUCCUGGGAUUAGGCCGAUCUGACGGUUGGAAAAGGUUUAAGCUUCAACUUGGGCUUUUGUCCUUUUGUUUGGUCUAGAAGAAAUCUGAAUCAGUGAACGGAGAGGGGAGGAGUUGUGGUGGCACUAUCGGCCGGAGGACCAUCGAUGGCUGUGAGCAGCGACUAGGGUUUGGUUAGAAGAAGAGAAAAAAGAAGAUGGGAAAGAAUAUAUUGGUCCGAAUAUAAAAGUGAACUACAAAGCGUAACAAUUGAAACAUCGGUGACCAAAAUUAAACUUAAACAAAGAUAUGGGACUAUUUUUGAAAUUUACCUCAGAUAUUGUUACGCAUUUAUUAGCUUAUCCCAGCAAUCACUUAUAUGCCAUUCCAUGCAUGCAUCCACAUUUCCCAAUCCCCAUAAAAUAUUUGCCAUCAUUUUCACCGAUAUUAUUUUAAUAGCAUCGGAUCGGAUCGGAUCGGUCGGUAAAUUUAACUAGACAAAAAAUUAAUCGAUACAUAAUUAAUUUUAUUUAUAAUUUAAUUAAGAUAUUUUUUUUAUGUUUUAUCAAUAUAAAAUAUAGUGUUAAAUCAUUAUUUGGGAUUUAAAUUUGGUAACUUUUUCUACAUUGAAGUAUAAAUUUUUUUGAGUUCAAGUUAGAUUUUAAACUUCACAAUUGUUCUCACAUUGGGGUCUAGACUAGACAGUUGUUCUUACAUUGGGGCUUGAACUUUUUUUUCAAGUUAGUCCAAGAACUUGACAAUUAUUUUCACAUUGAGGCCUUACCUGAACUUUUAGGGUUUUCAAGGACUAAUUUGAAAAAAAAAAUUGACCCUAGUAUUGGAAAAAUUGUUAAAUCAGGAUCUAUAUUUUGAAUAAAAAAAGUUUAGUUCCCAAUGGAAGAACAAUUCUAAGAUGACCUAACUUGAAAAAGUCAAACCCCAAUAUAAAAAAUGUUACCAUGUUUUGAUCCUAAAAAGUGAUUUAACCCCAAAUAUACAUAUAUGCAUGUAGGAAACAACAAGUUGAGUACGUUGAGCUUAAAUCAUCUCUUGUAUUGUUGAAUUAUUUUGAAUCACUCUUUGAGUAAGGUUGUUGGCAUAGGAAGGGGUUUUGAACUCUGUAACUAAUUUUUGGAUAAAAUAUAUUAUAAGUCUUUAAACUCUUCGUAAAUUUGGAAUUUAAUACGCUACUUUUUAGAUGUAAAAAAUUAGGUCCAACUUUUAGCAUUAUUAAGAUUAUUUUUGUUAAAUUCAAGUUUACUACAACGACAUUAUUUUAGGUACAUUACUACCAAAUGAGUUCUUUUUCAUUUCAAAAUGUCACACACUAACAAAUUUAAUAAAACAAAAAUUAACAUAAUUAAUAAUUAGACUUGAAUUUUAAAAUCUAGAAAGCAAAGGAACUAAAUUCUUGAAAUUAUAUAUUUUAACCAUUUUCUUUUUCAAUUUCAAUUAUUUCCUUAUUUGCAACUCAAAACACAACAAAUCCGCAACUCAAUACUAACAUACACGAUAUAAGAGAAUUUGCCUCCUCCUAUACAUAAUUUUAAAAAAUAAAAUAUUGGGUGCAGUGGUAAACCGUAUUCACUCUUAUUAAAAGAACUCAAUUUUGGAUCCUGGAGACAUAUAGUUGAGAGAGGAAAUCAUUACCCUCAAUUUUUAUUUUUUAUAAAUUAAUUAUAAUUUUUGAGGAGAAAUUAAAAAAAUUAUUUGGAUAAGGAAAUUUGCAUAUUUAAUCAUUUAAGGACUACAUAUUUUUAGUAUUACUUUUUUUUAUAUUGACUUUGAGGUCAAAGUUUUAAAAUAAUUGAGGUUUGGCAGCCAACAUUGGUUGAACUUUAAACCCAAGAAUAUUUGUACGUCAAUUAUGCAAAUGGUGAAAGAAAUGAUCCCUUUCUGUCUUAGAAUUUUCAGAUAUCUCAGCCUUUCACUAUCUGUGUUUUAACUUUAAAUUCCCUUCAAUUGAUGUAAAAUAGUAUAAUACUUUUGUUUGAAAUUAUUCCUUGUCACAACAAUUGUCAAGUGGUAGAAAAAGAUGGGGAUGGAAUUUGAUCCAAUUUUCAACAUGCCUGAGUGAUUUUAGGUUUUAUAUUAUUUCGGCUUUGAUUUACUUGUAAGACGAAGUUAUUCGGGUUUGUUAGUGAAUUUUUGAGUUAAGUUAUUUCGAGUUAUUUAUUCAUGUUAUUUUAAGUUUAGGUUAAUAAUUAAGAUUUGAGUCAUUUUGAAUUUAAGAUUUUUUUAUUCGAGUUGGGAAAGUUUUCAAUUAACAUUUAAAAGCUUUUCUAGAAGAGCUAGCUAUGUUAAUAUGUGUUAGAAAUUGUGUGACCCGAAUCUCGUCACUUGUUGAAAAAAUUCAUGUGUUCUUAUUUUUCUUGUUUUUAUCGACGUCUACUAUAUCAAUAUGAAAAUAAGACAACCCCUACCCCAAUGUUUUCAGAAUUGGAUUGGUGAUCGAACUAAUCAGAUCGCCAAAUUUUAAUUCGAUUGGUCCAAAAUUAAAGAAAUUUGAAAAAUAGGUAAAAUUUUGACAAAAUUAAAAACAAAAUUUUAUAAACACAAAUAAAUAACAAUAAUCACACUUCGAUUUAUGUUAGUUUUUCUCCUCUCUUUUUUUUUCUUAAUAAUAAUUAUUAUUUUAAGUAUUAGGGUGGGUUGGGUUGAUAUACUUAAGUAUUUGGAUUUUGCCGGUUGAUAUUUUUUUCUCGAUUUGGACCAUUAAUUUGGACUAAAAACAUUAAAAAAUAGUUCAACCGGCUUACGGUUCAAAUUCCAUUUUAAGUGCUUCACUCUAAAAUCUAUCUAACUCUUUUAUCUAAUUUGGUAUAUUGAUUGUUUUCCAGUUUGGCCUGUCGAAUUGACCAGAGUUUAAGAUUAGACCCCAAAAAACUUAAUGGUGGGGCAUGUAACUCGGCGGAUCCGGCCAACCGGCCGUUCAAUAUCAAUCUAAGCUGUUCACAGAUAUAUUAGAUAAGCAAUAUUGAAUGAAACUGCCUUUGUGAACUUCAGUCCAAACCCUAUUUGACUCAAACUUUUAGGCACACCUCAUUGGUCUUCGAUCCUUUUCUACACCACCUUCAUACCAUAUCAAUUUCAUGAGAUGGAAAAUUAUCCAUCCAUAUAUAAAAUUAAUCAAAUUUUCAUGUGAUGAUGAUGGAUCAUGACAAACAAUACAUAUACGAUCAAUUCAAUUGUAAAAUUUCAAUAUAGGUGAUCCCUUUUUCUUGUUAGGUUGGAGAAUGAAAACAAAAACAAAGAGAAAGUUAUGAAGUGGAAGCAUUAAGAUUAGGUUCCCAAAGGGCAAAAUUAGAGCACAGUUGGGGGGUAUGUAGGGCCUAAAGACGGCUUGCCAUUAGCUGUAUCGAAAGCUAAACUUAUGAUGGCACUUUCUAUUUCAAUGCAGCGGUCUACAUCAACCUUAAUCUCUCCCACCUAUAUAUAUACAUGCAUACACAUAUACACAUAUUCACCACAAUUUAAUCUUCUAAGUUCAAAACAUUGAUGACAAUGGCAACUCUAAGCAGUGCUUUUCUUUUCAUCUUCUCUUGUUUCCUUGCAUGUUCGAUCUCGGUUUCGGGACGACCCACCACUUUCCUCGAAGAUUUUAGAAUCACUUGGUCCGAUUCCCAUAUCAAGCAAAUCGAUGGAGGGAGGGCCAUUCAACUUAUUCUAGACCAAAAUUCAGGUUUAACUUUUUAAAAAUAAUAAUCAAUGAUUAAAUGUGUUAACCCUUCGAUAAUGUGUUGUUAAUUCAUUUUGUUUUAUAGGCUGUGGAUUUGCUUCCAAAAGACAGUAUUUGUUUGGACGUGUCAGCAUGAAGAUCAAGCUUAUCCCCGGUGACUCGGCCGGAACCGUCACCGCCUUUUACGUACGUAAAGCUACCUACCGACAUAACUUUUAGCCUUUAAUCGGUUUUUCAUUGUAGUCUGGUAUUGCAGAUGAAUUCUGAUACGGACACUGUAAGAGACGAGCUAGAUUUCGAGUUCUUGGGAAACCGAACUGGGCAACCAUACACGGUCCAAACCAACAUAUAUGCUCAUGGUAAAGGUGAUAGAGAACAAAGGGUUAACCUCUGGUUUGAUCCAGCUGCUGAUUUCCAUACAUACACAAUUAUGUGGAACCAUCAUCAUAUUGUGUAAGUCCAGUAUCUAGCUAUAAAUGUGACAUUAAUAAGCAUAUAUGACAUUAAAAUUUGACCAUUUGUGUGGUUUUUCUUAACAGGUUUUAUGUAGAUGAAGUGCCAAUAAGAGUAUACAAGAACAAUGAAGCAAAAAACAUCCCAUACCCAAAAUUUCAACCUAUGGGGGUAUAUUCGACUCUAUGGGAAGCUGAUGAUUGGGCAACAAGGGGAGGACUUGAGAAAAUUGAUUGGAGCAAAGCACCAUUUUUGGCUUAUUACAAGGAUUUUGACAUUGAAGGGUGUCCAGUUCCAGGGCCAGCAAAUUGUGCUAGUAACCCUAGGAACUGGUGGGAAGGUACUGCUUAUCAAGCUCUUAAUGCCAUGGAAGCUAGGAGAUACAGGUGGGUUCGGAUGAACCACAUGAUCUACGAUUACUGCACCGACAAGUCUCGGUACCCGGUCACCCCACCGGAGUGCAUGGCAGGUAUAUGAAGUACUAUCAAGAGUUCCCAUUAUUCCAUAUCCAACUGAACUGUCCAGAAUAUUUGAUAUACCAAUAUGUUACUUGUCAUAUAUACUUUGAUGUAUAUGCCUCCCUUUGUACCAUAAUAGCUAUAUGUAUAUGCUAUAAGAGGGCCAUGCAAAAAUUGGGGUUAUAAAGGGAAAUAAAUUGUGAUCGGGUGUGCAAAUAUUUGAUUUUAAAACUUGUAUUUAUUAUUAUUAUUGUAUUAUCCAAUUCAGAGUUUGCAGGCCUAAGACAAAACUACUUGCUGCUUCAUUUUACGGGUUGAUGAAAACAAGGAAAGAGUGAAUGUUAGAAAUUCAAAAUUAGUGUUUGAAGUAAUUGGCUUUCAAUUGAUUUUCAGAAUGGUCCCCUUUUGUUUUGGUUUUUCCUGUUAUUCACUUUAAAUGUUUGGCUAGAAUUUGGCUCAUUUUCGUCGUCCCCGAAGUGCAUAAAAAGCUCAUAAUGGUCCCAGUGUGAAGGGAUACUCCUCGCAUCCUUCACUUCUAAUACCAUAUUUUUUUGUUUGGAAUCAAUUAAGGUGGGUUUAGAUGGACGUUGCAUUUAUUUGUAGUUAGUGUAAAAACAGCGAUAACAGUGAGAUUAGAUACUAUAAUGAUACUAUAGUAUGAGAUAAAAAAGUAAACUAAACGUGCACCGUCCAUCCAAAUCCAUAUUUAAUUUAUUUUCUUGGAGAAACAAAAAUUUUGUACUUUGAAAUAAUUCUCUUUCAAUUAUUUAAUACAAUCACUUUUAAAGGUGAUAUUUAAUAAAUGUUUAUUUGAAUUUUACAUUUAUAAUUAUUUCUUUUAUGCUUAGGUCUAUGAAUUUUAGGAUAUACCAUAUUAUAACAAGCUUAAUUAUGUAAAAAUUAAAUGUAUAAAAAAUAAAUAAAAUUUUGAUUGAAAUAAUAAAAUUAAAGGUUUGAAGACUCUAGUGUUUUAGAUUUAAUUUUUUUCUAGAUUUAUUUUAGAUUUAGAUUGAUUUUUCUAGAUUUUAUAAGAAGAAAUAAAAAUAAUCUCCUAAUAAUAUUUAUUAUUUUGUAAAAUAGAUAAAAUUGUUAAUUAAUUUUUAAUUGAGUUUAUAUUACGAGUUAAGUGAACCAAAUAUGUAAAUAUGUAUUACAUUAUGGUACAAGAUACGGUUAAAAAAUUAUAUAAAAAUUAUAUUUAUAAAAAAAAUUAUUUUAAAACUAAAUGAAAUUUUAGUUGAAAUCAUCAAAAUUUUACCAUUAAUGGCUCAUGGAUAAAGGAGGAAAAUUUUCAAGUGCGAUUCGCUAAAUCUUUUGGUCGUUUAAUUUGAUAAUUUAGUAAAGUAUAAAAUAAUGGGGAUAGAGAAAAGAAUUUUAGAUACCCACCUUUUUGGUCAUUGAGCACAACAAAGGGGUUAUAAAUUAUAAUUCAUGAUGACAGCUCACAUCCUCAAGGAAAUAAACAACUUGGCAGUCUAGGGUUAUUUACUAGGAUUUUUACAGUCUAGGUCCCCACUAGGCAUAAAUUCUCGUAUGACCCCCAAUUGAUUGCCUUCUGGAGGCAAACACCAUUAAAGCUAAGAGAGAAAGGGCCAUCCUUUGAUGCCGCAGCAAAGCUACAAUAUCUUCCACAACUCCAUUCUCAUUAGUCCAUAUUUAAACAUGAAUAAAUUCCCAUGCAAGAAGUCCCAAGUGUGAAUUAUUUAGUAAUUUGAACUUUGUGUUCUGUCGUUGCAGCCAAUAUGUUGGAAUAACGAGUGAAACAAAACAUGCUUGAAUUCCAGCUAAAAGCAGUCAUUUAAUAGAGGUAACAUAUUGUUGGAUCAUUUAAUAGAGGUAACAUAUUGUUGGAAUAUGACAUACCAGUGGCAAAGAAAUGAAUGUGUUGGGACAAAGAAUCUAAUAUUCAAGGAAACUCUACCAAUCAAGUGAAACACUUUUGAUCAAAGUAAAUAAUGCCUUAGAUAAGUCAGGACAAAACAUAAAGAAGGGAAUGCCACAAAUCAUUGUUGGUCAUAAGGUAAUAGUAUAGUGCUAGUGGGCACAAACCUACAUUGAAUGCUUCUUAUUUCAGCAAAACGGAAUUGGUUUUAGGUACCUGCAUGGACAAGAGAAGCUUUAAUCUUCAGAGUUUUGCUGCUUUGGCAGUAAUUGAAAUUCACACGCCUCUUCUGCUCGUGAAAGGGUUCUCCGGGACAGGAUGGAUCAGCUUAGGAUCAUAGAUUAUGACUUAUAAGAUCUUUAAUUCUUUGUGGCAUUGAUUUUCACUGCAAUUGGCUCUGAGCAAUAAGGACAAUUUCCAAACAGAACAUUGAAUGACCUGCAACACAAGAUUCACAACCAUAAAUCAAGCAACCAAGUUGCCACGGACGAAAUUGAAGAUAAGUUUGUGCUAAUAUCUUUUCAUAAACUAAUUGCAAAUAAUCAAAGCUAAUUUGAAUGUGAGGUAUGUACAAGCAAUAAGGCAAAUUCAAAGGCAACCCGGUUUACUAUGAAUGAAAAGUCAAGUACCAUGAAUCAUAUAACUUGAAGGGUCAUUUGCCAAACGACACUCUCAAAAGGUAAAAAGAGAAAAAGGCACUAUAUCACUAUCUUAGCAAACCUUAACACACCAUUUAGUCUAACGGACAAAAGUAGCUCCGACAAUUUAUUGGACAACGUUUUGGAUAAUGUACUAGUGCCUUCAAAAGCUUGGAAAAACAUAGCCCCUUCAACUUUCAUGUAGGUCCGUCUUGAUCAGACUCCAGAAAUAGUGCUACCAUACAUAGUUGCAACUGAAAAAUAUGAGGCCAGUAACGGUCGAUCCUACCUCUACUAAAGGCUACUAGUUGUAUCAAUAAGAUAUAAAGGAGGACACAUAGACGAGUAUCAAGUGACCCAACUUGUUUGCAGGUUUGAUCAUUCAGGUAGACAGGUAGCCCAAUGCCAAAAGCAGGAAAUUCCGCAAGCAAUUAAUUUUGAAUUGAUCACAGCACAUAGUGGACAGGAAUAAAAUUAUACUCCGACACAGUGUAGAUUAAAAGAUACAAGUACACUAAGAGCUCCACAUACUGCCUUGUCGUCGUGAUCGACCUUAACCAGUCCACUAGGCACAUGCUGUGGAAAGCCUUACUACAACUAUUAUUCUCACAAGUGUAAUCAGUUGCACUUCCAGUCUGAGGUCCAAGCUCAUCACCUACAGGAACAUUUGAGAAUUAAGUCUCAAAACAAUAGUUCAGAGACAUCUAAAGCAUGUGAAGCAUUACCAAUGGGGAGAUAUUGAGCAUAACAGAUUCCACAUUCAUCUAGAUGAUUGUUGGUCUCUGCAUCAGCAAGCCUUGGCAAUUGGGUGUUCAAAAGACACUCAAGAUUUUCUAAAAAGGCUUUGUCCCUCUCCCUAAACAAUUAAUCAGACUAUGUAAAGUUAGUACAAUGGAAUGAAAUCUACCCCUUAUACAACACGAUGUUAUAAGCUUCUAUCCUCUUAAAUUAGAUGGAAGACUUCAAGGCUCCAAUUUCAGGCAUUCUCUGUUUCUAGAGAAGGAAUUAACAGAUUGCAUGCAGAAAAUUACGCGACUCGGUAAUUUUCUUCCUCCACUGUUAACCACACGUUCACUUCACUAGUACAAAAGUUAAAAAUUUAAGAUGAGACUCAAGGGCAUACCAUUUAUCAACAUUUCUUUUCCAUGUCUUUCUCAAGGAGUUCACAGUAUUACCUAAACCCAUAAAACGACACCUACAAACACGUAAAUAUUCGUUAUUCAUACUGAACAAAACCAACUUGCUAGCAGCUUUUAAUAUAAUUUUAUAUGAAUUCUUACUCUGGUAAUGAUCUAGGAUCAUUGUUAUCGAUGAACAAUAUGAUGAAGCAACCAUUUCCUGAGUAGCAAAUAGUUAAACCUUGUGUUCAGUAAUAAAGGAGGGGGCAAGAAAAUUUUAAUGUACAUAAAAGAAGACGGUAUGAAGUAAUGACUCACCUACGUGGAUUUGGCGACUCGGAAUGGCUCGAGAUGCUUGCUUUGAAUCAACAAUCUGAAGGGACCUGUCAAUUUCAUCCAAAGUAGACCAGAAUGCUUGAAGCUUCUCCAGAUGCUGGAUACAAAGAGAAAACACCUAAGUUCUAAUAAUAGUUAAACAUGCCAUGGCACCAAAAAUAUGUUCUGAAGCAGAAUAGAAUUACAUUGGGUUCAAAAAUGUCGAAGCAAAUACCUUCUCAAACUGUUGUACCAAGUUUUUCAGUCUCGAGUUCAUUGACCAUUUUAAAUUGAAGACAUAGGGAACAUCCUGAGAACAAAGCAGAGUAAGAUAAAACACCUGUAGGACUACAUUGGAAAAAUUAAGACCAAAAAGAUAGGAGACAAACCGCUGAAACCAUUGGAGGAACUCUAGGAUAAGCUUUAUCCAAUUGAAUUUCCGUAACAUGCACUCUUCCCUUCUUAUCUCUAGCACCGAAAUAUACAAGAAGGAUAACAGGAUAGCAACUAGGAACAAAGAGGAUAACAUGAAAUAUAAAAGGAGAACAAAACUACAGAGGGUUACAAUACCAAUACCGAAGUUCGACAAUAGAAACAUCUUAACAGGUAUAUAGAGAUAUAUGGUGUACUGAGGAUUUUAUAACUCCAAUAUCAACUGUUUAUCAAUUUUCAGAAAAUAUAUUCAAGCCUUUAGGUUUCAGAUAUAGCCAAUUCUGUAUCAAUACCAUAUUAAAGAUAUAAAAGUACAUGACUAUAACAUUGAUAAGAAUGGAGUACAAAAAGAGCUAGUAAUGGAUACAGUAAGAACAAUUAAAGACAGCACCAAGCUGGAUAUUGCAGGUUAGUUACAUAACCCAGAUUAUCAUCACCAUCCUAAGAAAAUAUACAGGUUCCAUUCGUUUGCAGAAAACCAAAGGAUUAUCAUGAUUAUGUGACUAACCCUGGAAGUUGCACUAGCUGUUUACUACAAAAUCUAAUGCUCCAAAAACUUUCCCAUAUUAGAUGGAUUGUCAAUAAAAUCAAAAGUGUACUUACAAAACACGAAAAAUAAGGAAACUUAGGUCUCCUCCGGCCCUCACCAAAUGCUCCCAUCCAACCUCUUCUAUCUGUACAAAUAAAAGUAACUCAUCAAGAGAAACCAAACAAAACCAAUAAAAUGGUUGACAUUAGAAUAAAUAUAAAGGGAAAAAAAAAAUUAAAUGACCUCAGAGUAAACUGUACUAUAAAAUGAGGACGAUUUAGCCAACUCUCUACAUCUAGCCUGUUGAUUAACUUCCUGCAAGCAAAAAAGGACUCAAUAGCAAAAUAAAUGUCUAGUAAUUUCAAGCCAACCAAUUGGUUUUGAUUAUUUUAUGUCUACAUUUAUAUCUAUUAAACGAUAAAGUUUGAAUACCAGAAAGCAUAAGACCCUAAAUUCUUUCAGGCAUCUUCACAAACAAUUCAUCAAAAAUUGUGAAGAUCAAGCAACACAAGUGGGCAACAAGAAAGCGCUGAAAGAAAAUAAAAUUACCAUUAGCUCCUCUUCUCUAAGGAGAAGAAAGAACGGGAAACGCUCCGUUAACGUUUGGCUGGUGCUGGUAUGGUGACGGCGGCUUGAGCAGCGUUUGUAGCGGCGGUUUCAGGCGUUUCUGCUUUGCCCCUCUUUGGCGCUGUUUUCUGGUUGGUUUAGGCGCGAAAGUAUUUAGAUUCUUUACUUGAUGGACCGGCAUCGGAUCGGCUGUGGAUCGGGCCUAUGCAUAUGUUAUUUGUUUUUUUAAUAUAAUUAUUAUAUUUAAUAUUUAACAUAAAUAAUUAAUAUAUUUAAUUUUUUUUCUAUGGUAUAAAUUAAAUAAUAUAUGAAAUAAAAUUAAAUUACAUAUCAUAAACUUAAAAACACGUGGGGCGAAGCCAGAAAAUUUUUUUAAGAUGUCAAAAUUAAAUUAUAAUUUUUAUGAUAAUAAAAAUACAAUUUUAAAAGGAUUAAAUCAAAAUUUUAUUAUUUUUGGAGGGCCAAAGUAUAAUUUUACCUUUACUAAUUUAAAAUUUUAAAGAGCUAAAAUAAAAAAUAUUCCAUUUUAGGGUGGCUAGCCCUUGCCAGCCCUAAAAACAUGUCUUACUUCAAUUUUAGAUAUUGAAACUUAAACACGUUUAUAUUUUAAACGAGAUUUUUGUAAAACCUUUUCAAAUUUCAGAUUCACAUUUAAAUUUGAAUAAAUAGUUUAAACCUUAAACAUGUCAAUCUACUUAUAUAAUUUUAAUAAAAAAUUAAAUGUUAAAAUUAUCUAAGUACUUUUCAUUUUAUUUUGUCAUUUUACAAAAUUAAAAUUAUUCAUAAGUCUUCAAUCUUUAAAAGUAAAAGGUAUUACACAUUUGGGCGUAUUUGAAUCUACAUCUUUCAAAUUAUUAUAUUACUAACACGUUAAUUGAUCUAAGACUCAAUUAUAUAUUAAUGGGUAAACUAAACCAUAGGUCACUUAGCUAUGUGCCAAUUUCCUUUUUGGUCACCCAAUUAAUUGGGUUUGUUUUUUGGGUUAUUUUCCAUUAAGUAACGUUAACUAUUUAUUGGAAGGGUGAGUUGGCAGCUUAAAAAUAAUAAAUUUAGCCCUCAACUUUUAUAUAUUGUGUCAAUUUAGUCAUGAUUUUUUAAAAAUAACCCUCAGUAUUGCAAAUUAUUUCAAUUUGGUCCUAAUUUAAAAAAAUAAAGGGAUAAUGGCAUGAAAGCCCCUUGUACUUUAAGGUUUGUUCUAAUAUUGUACCUACAAUUUCAAAAUGCCUAAUCAGUGUUGAGGGCUAAUUUUCAACUAAAUUGAAAUAAGUUGCAAUAUUAAGGUUUAAUUUAAAAUUUUUAUUUUAAUUCACAAACAACAAGUUAGAUUGAUACUUUCGUUUGUUGGUAGAUAAGAAAUUGAAAGGAAACUGGAAUAGGUGUAGAAACAGUAGAAAGUGGCCGCGUAUGUUGAUAGUUAUUAGGAUUCCCCACCUGUUUGGUGAUAAUUAUGAGAUUCGAAAUAAGACGAUAAUGUUAGGAGGGGCUAUCAUGAACCUCGAUCAUAAACUAUAAACAGACAUGAAUAAUUCAAAAAAAAAAAGUAAUUGAAGCUUUGGUCAUGUUUGUACUGGUAGUUGGGAUGUUUUGUCAAUUUCCUUUCUCCCUUUACACCAAAUGCGGUAAGCUUCGAACCUAAGCAAUAUCCUUGACAGAUUGAUCAAACAUCAUACCAAGACAAUCAACAGUUAUUUUAACUGCUAACGUCCCUUCAAAAGCUUCAAAAGAUCUGCCGGAAAAUCCUAUUUUUUCAGUUUCAGUUUUUAAAAAAGAAAACAGUUUGAGCCCCUUUUUUUUUUUCUCAACUAGCCUUGAGGUCUGGUGGCCGAAAUCCUCAAAGUGACUUUCCUUUUGACCGUUUCAGCUCCCAGAAUCCAAAUCUAGAGUCAAUCUUUCCAAAAAUUCAUCAAAGAUCGUAAAAAUCCUCAAAGAACCCUUUGAUUUUUGGGUUUCGAAAAACCUUUUCAUCAGAAAAAGAGUCAUCUUUCAUCGGAGAUGACGACCUCAUAGAGACAGUGAACAAGUACAAAAAAGUUCUAUUUUUAUUCUAUUUUUUGAAUAUAAAAAAAAGGAAAAUGAAUCACCUUUUCCUUUUAACCGUUUUUGUUCUUCGUAUUUUCUCUGUGUUCAUUACAAUUUGUUUAUUCGGCUUUUAUAGCCGGUUGAUUACAAAUAUUGUAUUUGUUUUUUUUUCUUUUUCUGUCCUGUUUCUUUUUCUUUGCAAGUGAUGGUGGAGGGUCAACGGCGACGAUGGGAGUCGCUCCUUAGCCAUUUUAGUGAAACAAUGGCAGAGCGGCAGACCUCGGGGUGCAGGUGUCUUCGGGCGAAGUGCCCACUGACGUGGCAAUGAGCGGCGGCUCAAAAGGGUCCAGGUUUUUUUAGUUUUCUGAAAGAGCUUAGGUUGUGGGAUUUGGGUUAUUUGGGCUUUUAGGGUUUUGUUUAUAUUCGGGCUAGUAAUUUGGGCUGGCAUAUUUUGUAAAUGGACUUUUGUUUAUUUUAGUUUUUUUUAGGGUUUAUGGUGGGCCAGGCAAAAUUAGGUUGUUACAUUUAGCAACGACCUUAACCUCUCUGUUGACACCAUUUUUUUGGAUGAAAACGGGGUCGACUUAGAUUUUGAAAAUAAAACGAAAAAUGGGAGUCGCCACCAAUCUUUUUUGAUGAGGUGUGAUCGGGUCACCUCGUAAAACGGUUGUUUUUAAUAAACGAUUUAGAUUUUAUUAAAACAAUGAUUUUUGUCUACGAAAUUCAGAAAAAUGGGUUCGGGAGUCGGUUACGCACGAGGAAGGAUUAGCACCCUCGAUGCGCCCAAAAUUGGUACCUAGUUGAUUAAUUAGUGUCUUAGUGUCGAAAAUUGAAAAUUUGAAGAGUUUUUAAAAAAAAUACGAUCCUUAAAAGAAACUCUGAUAACGUGAAUUGAAAUAUAAGAUUCUCUUGUUCCGAAGGAAUAUCACAUCCAGCACGUUAGGACACGAUACUCUAAACCAUCGAAACCAAGAUCAUCUUAUAGUUUAAUGAAACCAUACUUUGAAGAUUUAAAAGGAUAUUUGGCUAUUUAAUCGAACGAGAAAUCGAAACCCAGCACGUUAGAGCACGUUUUCUCGAUUUUUCUAAAUACGAAAUAUUACCUUUAUUAUUGAAAGUUUAAAAGGGUAUUUGGCCAUUUGGUCGAACGAGGAAUCGAAACCCAGCACGUUAGGGCACGUUUUCUCGAACUUUCCAAACGCAAAAUAUUGCUUUUACGAAAGAAUUAUUUUCGUUGGGUAAUUAAUAUAAAUUCGUGGUAAAGUGGAAUAGCGAAAAAUGAGCAAACAAAUAUGAAUUUCGAUAUCAAUGAACAUAACAGAAUAAAAAUAAAUGCAUAAUAAGAAUGAUGAGAUCAGAAAUAGAGGAGUAAGACAAACAAGCAAUGUAAGAGAAUAAUAAAAGAUUAAUAAUAAUUAUAAUAGUAAAAAUAAUAAUAGUAAUAAUAGCUAAGUGGGAAAUAGUAACAGUACAUUAAUAAGACAAAUAAUAUAAUAAUAGUGAUAGCACUAAAGAAAAAAAAAUAUUAAUAAUAGUAAUAAAUAUAAUAGUAAUAAAUAGAAAAUAAUAGUACAUUAAUAAUAAUAGUAUAUGUUAAUAUCAAUAAUGAUAUGUAUAAAAAAGGGAAAUAAUAAUAUGGUAAAAAAUGUGUUAAUAAAAAUAAAAAUAGAAAUAAAAAUAAUAUUAAUAAUGAUAUUAAUAAUAGUAAUAAAACAGAGAAAAGAAAAAAAUAUAUAUAUAACGAUGAAAAGUAAUGAUAAUAAUUAUUAUAAUAGUAAUGAUAUAAAAUCAAUGAGGUAAUAAGCAAAUGGGUAUAAAAAGAAAAUAUAAUCAUAGUAAUAAUAGUUGUAGUAAUAAUAAUAGUAAGAAAAAUAGUGAUAAUAUAACAAGAAUAGUAAUAUAACAAGAGAAUAAUAAUAAUAAUAAUAAUAAUAAUAAUAAUAGUAAUGGAGAUAAUAAUAAUAAUAAUGAUACUAACAAUAAUAUAAAUAAAAAUAUAAACAACAAAGAAAUAGCAAUAGCAAUAAUAAUAAUGGAAUGAAAGUGAUAAUAAUAAUAGUAAAUAAUAUGCAAGAAAAUAAAAUACAAUUAUAAUAUCAUAAUGUUAAAUAAAAAAAGAAAAUACAAAAGAAAAGGACGAAAAGGGGCUAAUUUGAACUCUAGACAGAAAUUUGAGGCGAAAAUAAUAAUAAAAAAAGAAAUGGGGCCAAAUUGAAUUUAAAACAAGAGUUAGGGGAUAGAUUCGAAACAAAAAAAAAGGAAAGGGGAGGACCUACUAGAACACGUGAAUAACAUGGAGGGACUAAAAGGGAAAUAAUCCCAACCUUUAUGCGCAUUAUUUCAACAGGGACUCAAAUGUAAUUAGGAGAAAAUUAUGCGGCCAAAUUAAAAACAAUAAAAAGAAGAACAGGGGCCUAAUCCAAUAGCAGCGCAAAAGAGAAGGAUUGGCCACAUAAAUAACCCAUUUUAGGCGCAUAGGCUCUUUUCCUUUACCCAAACGGUAUUGUUUUAGUUUUAUUAUUUAAAUCAUACUUUUAUUUUGAAACCAUCCAUGCCUUUAUUUCCUUUUUUUUUUAUUUUUUUUCUAAACCUAGCACUUUCAGACUCCUCUAUCUCUUCUCCUUCCUUUCAGCCGACAAGGCCAUUCCCUGCUCGCCUGCACGCUGCCAUGGCCGGUGACCGAUGUUGCGGAGAAUGAGCUUUUACGCUCUGUCUUCAAAGCCUCUUUUGAAGGCUAAACUUUCAGCAAACAAAGAACGAGAAAAAAAAGAGUUCUUUGUCCCUUUGCCGAACUCGAUUACAACGACGGAGAAAUCACUCCGACGCGAGCUCAAAGGGAUUCAGGUGAGCCAUUUUCCUUCCUUUUAGUUUUUGCUUAAACAGAUUCGCGAAGAGAAAAAAAAAUAAAAGAAAAUACAAAAGAAAAAAACUAAAUAAAAAUAAAAAAAAGAACCAAGAACACCUUUUAGUUUCCAAUCUUUCUUAGAUUUGCUUGUGUGCGUUUUGAUUUCUAAUACCUGUGUUACAAUCUUUCUUUUUGUAAAAAAAAUAAAAACCCCCCUUUUCCAAAAUACAAUCCGUCCUCCUUUUCAAAAUUUCUCCCUUCGGUUUUAUAAUCGAUUACAAUAACAAUAAAAAUGCNNNNNNNNNNNNNNNNNNNNNNNNNNNNNNNNNNNNNNNNNNNNNNNNNNNNNNNNNNNNNNNNNNNNNNNNNNNNNNNNNNNNNNNNNNNNNNNNNNNNNNNNNNNNNNNNNNNNNNNNNNNNNNNNNNNNNNNNNNNNNNNNNNNNNNNNNNNNNNNNNNNNNNNNNNNNNNNNNNNNNNNNNNNNNNNNNNNNNNNNNNNNNNNNNNNNNNNNNNNNNNNNNNNNNNNNNNNNNNNNNNNNNNNNNNNNNNNNNNNNNNNNNNNNNNNNNNNNNNNNNNNNNNNNNNNNNNNNNNNNNNNNNNNNNNNNNNNNNNNNNNNNNNNNNNNNNNNNNNNNNNNNNNNNNNNNNNNNNNNNNNNNNNNNNNNNNNNNNNNNNNNNNNNNNNNNNNNNNNNNNNNNNNNNNNNNNNNNNNNNNNNNNNNNNNNNNNNNNNNNNNNNNNNNNNNNNNNNNNNNNNNNNNNNNNNNNNNNNNNNNNNNNNNNNNNNNNNNNNNNCACUUGUUUCAAACUGCCAAAUAGAGUAGAAAUAAAGUUAAGAUAUAGUGUGAUAGUUCACGUUGAUGUAAUAUUAUUUAUUUUAUAUGUUAUAUGAAUUUUUAUGCGAAUUAUUAUAUUUAAAAUUUAAUGUUAAACUUUUAUAAUUUUGUCUAAAAUCAAUAAAGAUCCUUUUUUCAAAAGAUGAUUAUAUUCAAUGUUUGAAGUUCAAAAAGUGUUUGAUGAUGAAAGUGAUGACGAUCAUGAUGAUAGAUGGGGAAGAAGAUGAGCAAUGAGAGAGGCAGAGUAAGUUUCCCGGAAAGCUACCCUAAUUAUUUUCCAGGAAAGUGCUGUGAUUUAGGGCAUCAAAUUAAAAAAUAAAUAAUGAUAAUAACAGUUUUGUAGUAGUAGAAUUUGACAAGGAAAAGUUUGUGAUUCAUUAAUAAUGUUACUGUCGAGUGUGAACAGUGGACAGCAAUCAUGAUAGCGUGCCUGUAACGAUUACAUGCAUUUAACUAGUUAACUCCAACAGAUAUUUUUAAGUGUAAGUUUACGAUAAUUUAAAUUUUAAAAGCUGUAAAUUAGUCAUUUAAUUAUUUAAAAAUUUAUUUUUAAAUUACAGACUGUUAAAAUUGUUAUUGUAUGAUACUUUUUUAUUUAUAUUGAUGGAUAUUGAUCUACUAUACUGAUCGUCGAAUCGUCACUUGAAGCUUGCUAGCCGGACUUUAAAGAAAAAAACUUAACAGCUCAAUGACUUAAAUAAAAACUUUCAAAUAGUUUUAGUGAACAUUUGUUUCUUUUUGAAGUUUAAUAGUUAAAACGUAAACUUAUUAAUAAUUUAAUGACCUAGGUUGCAGUUUGCCCAUAUUCUUUUUAGCUUUGAGGUAAUUAUAAAUUAGGAAUAGGAAAAGUUUUUUCAACAUUAAAUCCCUUAAUGCCCAAUCUAAUAAAUGUCGGUAAACUGAGAUCAGAUUCCUUUUAUGGUAAAGUGGAAUAUGUAACUUUUUCUAGUUGAGAUUUUGGAAUUUUGAUAAAAAGAGGGUCUAUUUGAGAAUUGGAGUGUCUUUUUAGGGGUCCGUUAGUAAUAAAAAUGUCUCAUGUGCCAUGGGGAAAAUCUCCAUUAUAAUGAUUGUGAAAAAAGGGGUUGAGUCAUUGGGACAUCAGGUGGAUGCAUGACCCAUCAGAAAAAAAAAAUAAACUCUACAUUUAUAGGGUAAAUUGUACUAAAUGUCAUUAAAUUAUUAGUAAGUUUAUGUUUUGGUUAUUCAACUUCAAAAAGUUACAGAAUGAUCACUAAACUUUUCAAAAGAUUUUAUUUAAGUCAUUGAGGUGUUAAAAUCAAUAUUGUAUGACAUUUUCUAUUCGCACCACCUGUACUAAUAAAAAACUCUCAUUUCAUGAAAUAGCUUUGAACGUCAUGAAUCUAUAUCAAAAUCCAAACAACUUUCUUUUUUGUUCUCCAACACUAUAAGGUAUGUUAUUCUAAUUAACAAUGUGUACUAAUCCCACCAUAUCAUUCAUCGAAUUGUAGCUUAGAGCUCACUAGCUAGACUUUUUUUAAAAAAAAAAACUUAAUAGCCUAGUGAAUUAAAUAAAAUUUUUUGUAUAGUUCAUUGAUUUAAAUGAAAACUUUUAAAUAGUUUAAUGAUUAUUUUGUAACUUUUUAAAAUUAAAUGAUCAAAACAUAAAUUUACUAAUAUCUACUGACCUUAGGUGCAAUUUACGCAAAAAUAUAUAACAACAAUCAAAAUGUAGUUAUAAAGUCGUUUUUUUUAUUUCACUGACAAUAUAAAAUAAUUGAUUUUCUAUUGUGCCUUUUCGCUUUUCAAGUGAAUUAUCCCUUCGUCUCUUUGUCUACACGUUUCUACACCAUUUUUUUUUGUCUUUUUUGGUAGAAUUCUAAUUUUGAUCCUCUGUUAUCCUUAAGGAUUUAAAUUUAUAUUUAAUUUGAUGUAAUUUUGUUUUUAAUUUUUAUAACGUUUGGUAGUUAAUUUAAAUAAUUAACAUUGUUAAUUAUUUUAAUUAAAAUAUAUAUCUGAAUUUUUUCCUUAAAAAACUAAACGCUCAGUCCAAUUUAUCUUACUAAUGGAAUUAAUGUUUUUCUUUAGUUUACGUCAAUAUUUUUAUCUAAAUAAUUAACGAUGUUAAUUAUUUAAAUUAAUUAAUGAUGUAUUAAAAGUAUAAGAUUUAUAUCUCGAAAUUAAAUAAUAGAAUGCUUAUAAUUAUAAUGGUCGGUAUUUGGUACACUGACAAUAUACUUUUUUUCACUAGUAAUCUUGAAAAAUUGACAUGUAUUUUUUAAAAAUAUUUUACUAUAUCUCUAUAAAGCAUUUGUCAACCUUGACUCAAUUUGUAAAAUCUAAAAUUCCACAAACAAUGUAUCGAAUAUUAUUCAAAUUUAUAAUUUAAAUUUUCUUUACCCACUUUUUUUUUGGCUUUCUAAUUUUAUUCAUAUAAAUUUUGAUAUAAUCAUAUAAUUAUAAAAAUAUAUUUAUAUGGGUUCUACUUUUCUAUUAAAUUAGAGACAAAUACACAUGAUCUAACCUCCUUAGCCACACACUUUUCCUUUCUCACUUAAAUCAUAAUUUAAGUUUAUUCAUAAAAUUAGAUUCUGUAAAAAUGUGAUCAGCGUGAUAUAAUUUUAAAAUGUUACUUUAUUAAUCGUUAUAUUUUUUUUAUGAAAUUUAAGUUUAAUGAUUAAGAUAUGCUUAAUUGUCAAAUUUAAGUAUCAAAAUCGAUAAAAAGAAGUAUGUCUAAUUAGGUAAAAGUACCAUGAAGUCUUUGUAUUAAAAGUUGGAUUGCAUUUUAAAUUCUUUACUUAAAAAAAUUGGCAAAAUUAGCCACUAUACAUUAGAUCAAAGAGUAAACUAGCUAUUUUGUUAAAAAUUUCAUCUAUUUCUACUAUUAAAAAUUGAUUUUUAUAUAUCAGCAUGAGGUAUACAUAACGUGUAACUGAUUAUUAUGUUAACCAUUCUAAUUUUUUAAAUAAAAAGUACAAUACGUAAUCUAACUCUUACCACCUAAUUAACCAAAUUCAUAAAAUUCAUAGGAGAAAAAUCUUCUUCUUUAUUUGAAACACCCAAAAAGGUGGAAACCAUUUACACCAUGGAAAUGGAAUGACCCUUUCAUUUUGUUUUCAUGAUAUUUUAUACUAUGCCAAAUAAAGACUAUAUAUAUUACUAUGACAUUUGUGUUAAGCAUGUAUGUAAGAAGAAGUUUCAAAGCAAGUGUAUUUGUACCCCCAAAAUGUUUGAAAAAUGUUUGAAAAGAUAGUCAAUUAAUGUGAACAUAAUUAUUAUUUAUCUUUAAAUAUUUUAAAAUAAAAAGAAAAGAAAAAUCAAACCAAAGUUGUCAUCAUCAAAUAAUCUUCUUAUCUUUUCCUUUUUAUAUAUUCAUUGUUCCAAACAUAGCCAUGUAAUUAAAAUAAGAGGGCAAAAUUUUGAUAUAAACAAGUAUACCAUUAAAUAAAAGAAUCAAUAAUAAAUACAAACAUAAUCCCUUCAUACAUACAACUACUAUAUCUUAUAUUAUUUACAAACGUGUUGUAAUUAUACUUUUUUGUUUUUCUGUUUCUACAAAUUAAAAUAAUUGACUAAUUAAUUAAUUCACUACAAAGCCCUUGUUGGGGUCUCUUCAACAUGCUGCAGAAGGAUUGGUUAAGGGAUUAUUAUAGAAAUGGUGAGUCUUGGAAGCCAAUGAAAAUAGGUUCUUGGAAUUCCCAUCGCCGUCGCUAACACCGCCGGCGGCGGCGGUUCUUUCACAAGACGGACAUAUGGUGAGGGUAGCCGCUUGCAUGUGAAACGGAUGAGCUGCUAAUUUCAGUGCUUUGAGUUCUUGAACUUCUUUUUGUAGUCUCCUGUUUUCAUCUGUUAAUGUCUCGUAACAUUUUUUUAAAAACUCACAGUCCACUUCAGUUUGCUUCUGCUUUGUCCUGUCCAAAGAUAAAAAAAAAAAACCCAAUGAUUUGGAGCUGAUAAUAUCAACAAAUUACAAAACCCAGAUUAUGUUUUGUUUGUUUUACCUUGCUCUCCUGUUUUGAAACCAUACUUCAACUUGUCUAGGUUUCAAGUUUAAUUGCCUUGCUAAUGCUUGUUUUUGCUUCUGUCACCAUAAAACACAGUAACAAAACAUCAAUUCUAUGUAUAUGUAUGUAUAUAUAUAUAUGUAUGAAACUGAAUGAAAGCCUACGGGAUUGAGAGUGCUGUGUUGUUUAAAGCUUUCUUCAAGAAGGGAAGAUUGUUCUUUAGAGAGACGAAGUUUCUUUCUUCCAUUAACAGUACCUUCUUCAUCUUCAUCACUGCUAAGUUCUCGUUCCCUUUUGGGUUUAUUACCACUUGAAAACGAAGAAACACCGCUAAGAGGCGAAGCUGGUUUCACGCCACCGGCGACGCCUGAGAGAGCCAACGUCAACGACGGUUCAUCGUUUGGUUCAAGCUUGAGAAAAGAUGGGUUUUUGUUGUAGGGUUUGGAUGGUGUUUGUAGGGUUGAUGAGAAGCCUAAACUAAGAACAAGGCCUGUAUUACAUGAAUCAUCAACACCCAUCAAGCUGAAUUUUUUUUUUUUUUGGUUUCAACAAUGGAGUUUUUCGAUAUAAUGAAGGAAAGAGAAGGGUGGAAUGAAUCGUAUUGAUUUUUGAUAUAAUGAUAUAUCAUUGUUCUUAUUCUCUCCCUGUGUAUAUAUAUACACACACAAAGGUUGACCAUUUGAAAGGCUAUGAUUAUGAUAUUCUCUCAAUAUAAUUAAAAAAUAAAAAAAGUAAAAUUUCCUGUUGAAACUAUUAGCAAUGGGGGGGGGGGGAACACAUCAAGAGAAUGAUUCUUCAGCACUUGUCCACUUGUUCAACACCAAUAGUUUAAAAUUAAAAAAAAAUUGAUUUAGGUUAAAUUUUGCUAUUAAUUCAUGUACAUUUUCAAUUUUUAUAGUUUUAAAAUUUUGAUAUUUUAGCCUUGGCUAAACGGUAGUUAUUAAAUUCAAUAAGUUAAGUUUUAUUACUUUUAAAAUUUGAUGCGGGAAACAUAUUAUCAUAUGUGUAACGUUAUAUCAGAUUGCUAUUUUUAUAUGUUACUCAGAAAAAAAGUAGGUAAUACAUUUAAUGACUAUCGUUUACAUUAAGAUUGAAAUUUCGAAAUUCAAAAAAUAUAGUGACUAAGAAUGAUUCAUUUGGAGAACAUUAACUAAACCUAUAACUUUACGUAUAAUACAAAACUAAUAGUAAAAUUUAUUUAAUCAAACACAUUUAACUAUUACUGUCUAAUUGAGAUUAAAAUUUUAAAAUAAGAAAAGUACAAACACUAAAUUCAUAAUUUUCAUAAAGUAUAGGGUUUUUUUAAUAAUAGAAUUUGACUAUUAUUUUUCAUGUCCAUGAAUUUACAAAUUUUUAAUUCAUAAAUAAUGCUUGGGUUGGAUGCCAAGCAAUUUCAUCCAACACUAAUUAUAAAAAGAAAAAUCAAAUGAAUCAUUGGGUGUGUUUUGAUAACUUCAUAUGACCCUCUUUUUGGGUUUAAUUCAAAUAAAUACUAUCCAAACCUAAAACUAUAUAAUAAAGAUAAAGAUAUAAUUAAUUGGAACAACAACUGAGACAUAAAAAAUUAUGGGAAUUUUGUUGUCAUUCUGGGAUUUUAAUGGUGUCCCCCUGGACCAGCCAAUUUUAUAUUUCAAAAAGGUGUGUGGUGCCAUUGGUUCCACGAUAUAUGAUGGGCUAGUUUUAUCCUAUAGUUUAGUAUUUAUUUAUUUUCUAAUUAAUUAAAAUUUGCACGAGCCGAUCAAAAUUGAAAACUUGGAUUAAUUUUAUUGUUAUUAAUCAAAUUGAAAUGUAGGGUGUUCGAUUAGUCAAAUUGGUUCGUGCAAAUGAUUAUGAAAUUGGGAUUGGGUUGAACUUGGUGUGUGCCUGUGUGUACGGACGGUGACCACACAAAAACAUGUAUUAUGGAAACAGUGGAAUCGGCCAAACCCCAAUAACCCAAUCGUAUGUUUAAUCUUCACCUCUAAGAUAUUGAGUGGAGAGAAGGAUAAGUCAACUUUUAAACUUGUCGUUUGCUUGAAAUUUCUCACUUGAUUUUUUCCCGAGAGAAUUUGAAAGUUAGUCAUGCAAAUAUAAAUACGGUGAGACUUGAAUUUAAAUAUUUAAUAUUCAAGGUUUGUAUCUUAAUUGAUAAUAUUGACGUCCUAUUGGUAACUAUUUAUUAAUGUUAAGUUAAACUAAUAUCGGCAACGAGACUUUGGUAUCUUUUAUAAAGGUCAAUGGUGCUUUAAGUGUUUAUGUUAAGUCUCACCAUGUGUCAUACCAUAUGUAUGGUUCUCCCCUUCAAUUUUUCUAGACUUUAAUAAGGAGCAAAGCCUAAAUAAAAAUUACUUUUGGAGGCCAUGAAUAUAAAUUUUUGGAGCGAUCAAAAUGUAAUUUUUACAAUUAUACUGAUAUGACAUAAUAAUUUAAAGCAUCAAAUGACAAAUCUACCAUCUUUGGGGGCAAGGCCACUACUUACCCACCUUGCCUUCACCCCGACUUCAAAUUUUGGUACAACCUAUAAUUAUAGUUGCUCAAACAUAUAUUUUUCAUGCUUGUAUUAUCUCUAAUAUAAUAAAACUUUUGAUUAAGUUGAUAUCAUUUGUUAAUCGGGUCCCAACUUAGUUGAGAAAUUACAAAAAAUUUAUACUUUUUACAAAAUAAAUUAUAUUAUUGCGAUUAAAUUUGUCUUUUUAUAUUUUUAUAAAUCAAUAAAAUAUUAGAAGCAAAGAGAUUUGAACCAAAAACAUUAUAAAUAUCAAAUCUUCAACUUUACCAUUUCAACUAAAGCACCAGUUAAAUUUUAUAUAAACAUUUAAUAAAUAUAAUUGUUACAUAAUUUUUUCACCCAUAUCACAAAUAUCUCAUAAUUAUAAUUUUUUUUAAAAAUAAAUUAAUAUUAGACUGAUCAAUGGAAUUAUUCAUAAAAAAAAUUAUUUGAUCCAAGGGCAUAAUUAGGGGGUCGGCAAAGGUCUCGGUCUUCCCUUAAAACGGAAAAUUUUUCAUUUAAGCUUUUUAAAAUUUAGAAAAAUUACACUUUGCCCCUCUAAAAAUAAUAAAAGUUUGAUUUAAUCUUUUAAAAAUUUUAAAGAUAUAAACUAUUAAAAUAGUAAAAUUAUAUUUUUACUAUCGCAAAAGUUAUUAUUUAAUUUUGACCCCUAAAAGAAUUUCUGACUUCAUCUCUGAUUCGAUCUAAAUAUUAUAUGGGAUUGAUCUUGUGAAUAAACCCAAACUUCUUUAUAAUUUGGAAAAAAAAAAUAGAAGAGUAUUCUUUAGGUGUGUAAAAUUGGUUCUAGAAAAAGAAGAAUUAAAAGAGAAAUAUUCUUAUUCAAUGAAUGGAAAAAAUGAAUUGAGUAAAUUAUUUUAUUAUUAUUUUUUAAAAAAAGUAUGUUAGACUUCAUAAAGGCAGCAUUAUAAUUUGUUAAUAAUUUUUUUUAUGGAAUAUUCAUAGGGAUUAAUGCUCACUUUAAUGUUCAAUCAGGAGAGAGCAUAAUUAACAGAUAAACGUGUCUUUAAUUAAAUAAUUAAUGUGUCAAAACUUGGAUUCUACUUUAUUAUACCAUUAUAAUAAAAUAUAUAAUAACUUAAUUCGAAGUUCAACUCGAAAUUUAAUUCAAUAAAUUCUUUAUAUAUAUUUUUAUAGAUCAUAUUUGAGGUUUUUUUCUCUUAUGCUCCUUGACUAAAAUACCCUCUCUCUCCACUUCUAUUAUUGUUGAUAUUGUGUAUUAACAGACUUCAUUUAAUAUUUUGUAAUUUUGAUAUUAAAUCAUAUUAUUUUUGAAGUAAAUAAUAAAUAUAUUAAAAUCUACUAGGUAAUAUUGUAAUAUUAUUUUUUGAUUUUUUUUCAUCCUGUGAUUAAAAUAAUAAGUCAACAAUAAUUAUAAUUAAUAAAAAGAAAAUGGCCAAAAAUAAUAAUAAUAGAAAGGGAAAAAAGGAGCUGAUGGCUGAAUACCAAAAGGCAAAAAGUGAUCAGAUUAUGAGCCAUUAAUUUUGGACCUAACUAGAUAGACAUUGACUUGGAGUAGUUGAAGAAAAAAAGCACCAAAUAUUUAUUUUUAUCAUAAUUUAUUAAUUAAUCCACUAAAUAAAUCAUUUUUAUUAGAAAUAUGCAUACUUUUGAGAAAGUAAAAUAUUCUGUAAAGGAAAAAGAGUAGUUAUGAGUACUUUUUCUUGGAAAAGAGUGGUGUUUUUUUUUUAAAUUAAAAAAAUAGUUUUUAUUAUGAAGGGUAAAUUAAUCAACAUUGUUUAGUUUAAAAAGUUACAAAAUGAUCAUUUAAUUAUUUAAAAAUUUUCAUUUAAGUCACUGAACUAUUAAAAUUGUUCUUAUAUGACAUUUUCUGUUUGCAUUGUUUACACCAAUCGAAACUCCUCUUCCCUUUCUCUUCUACGAUUCAACUUUUUUUUUUUAUAAAAUAACUUUGAAUGUCAUGAAUUUACAAACUAAAAUCCAAAUAGUUUUGUUCUCUAAUGUCUAACAUUGAUCACCAGAAUGAUUUAGAUCUAAAGUAUCUUCUUCUACUGGUUGAUGGGGAUCGUCAAAUUGUCACUUAGAGCUCGUUAACCGAUUUGAGAGUGACCAAAUAUAAAUUUACUAAUAAUUUAAUAUUUUUGGGUGUAGUUUAGCCUAUUAAGAUAUAAUCAUAACAAAAUUUAAGGGCUAGAAAUUUUUUAAAAAAUAUUAUAUAUAAUUGAAUUUAACUUUUUUAUAUUUUUCUAAUAAAGAAUGUGGUGAAACCUAAUUCAAAUGACGUGUGUUAUAAGGGGUGAGAUUUUAAGAGACAUGUAGGGCACACAAAUGAUUUGGUAUGAUGUGCAUUUGAUUCCGUGCUGAGUUUCAAACAUGAUAAACAAGGUUAAAUUCUGCAUAUCAUCCUUGUACUAUGAGAUAGUUGCAGAUUUAGUACUUAUACUUCAAAUUAGUCCUUAUAUUUGUUUAUUUUUAAGGUAAACUAUACCGAGUGUCACUUAACUAUUAGUAAGCUUACAUAUUGGUCACUCAACUUCAAAAAGUAACAAAACAAUCACUAAACUAUUAGAAAGUUUUUGUUUAAAACAUUAGAUUGUUAUUUUUUUUUGUUCAUUUGAAUUCCAGCUGGCAAGCUCCAAGUAUCGAUUUGACGAUCAAUAUGGUGGAACAAUAUCAAUCGAUUAGUAAAAGAAUAUAUCUUAGAUCUAAGUUGAUAUGAAGAUCAAUGUUGAAGAUCAGAGAAGAAAGUUGUUCAAAUCGAUGUUUAAAGUUGUUUCAUGAAAAAGAGUAAAGUAGAAGAAGAGGGGGAAGGUAAGCUUUCGAAUGUUGGUGUGGAUGGAGAAGGCCAUAUAGCAACGAUUUUAAUAGUUCUGUGACUUUAAUGAAAAAUUUCAAAUAAUUUAAUGACUAUUUUAUAACUUUUCAAAUAGUUCAGGCUUAAGUGUAGUUUAUCCUUAUUUUAAAAUCAACGUUUUGGAGUAAAAUGCAACUCUAAUAUGUAAAUUUUGAAGAAGUUUGAUGGUAACUGUGGUCUAUGGACUAAAGUGAAGAGGAAGAAGAAGAUUUUUUUUUUGAAUGUUUCAACUCACUUUCAUACGUGUCAUCUGAUGUGAGGAUGAUAUUUCCACAUAAUGUAAAUAAAAUGACACAUCAUUUAGUUUAACUGACAUAACAUUUUUCUUUAAUAUUAAGAUUGAUAUUUUAAAAAUAAAAAAUUACAAGGAUUGAGUUUGAUUAAAUUGAAGUAUAUGAACUAAAUACACAGUUAUCAUUUGGUACACGGAUGAUUUCUUGAAUUUGACAAAAAAAAUUGUUAGAAGAACUUAGCUUUUCGUUUAAAAAUUUGAAUCAACUCGACUUCGAAAACUGUAUGAAUAUAAAUUAUAUUGGCAAGGCUUCACUAGCAACAAUUCAAGAAUUUAAAUGCAAAGAAUUAGUAAAAACCAGUAAGCUAGCAAAAAAUGGCAGUUCAAUUUCACAUGUUAUCGUCAACUGAACUAACUUCUUAUUUUCAUAAAAUAUGAGGAUCAAAUUUUGAUAAAUUAAAACAAAUGAGAAACUUCUCAAUUUUAAGGAAGCAAAAGGCUGAAAUUCAUAAAAUAAACUGAUAAGACAUGUGAAAGUUUGCAUUUCCAUUAAAUAAACUAUCAUGUAAGGGAAAGUAAUUACUACGAAUGGCAAUGGAGUAGGGCAGGGGCAAAUGUUAUUAAAUCUACUACUAUUUUACAGUUGGUGUGCUUUGUUCCACCAUCCUCUUUGUUCCACUAUAGAUGUAUAAUAUUGAAAAUCACUACUACCUCCAUAUAUGUUUGAUGCAUCCAUCCUCACCUAACCCUACCUAGUCCAAUACCGUUCCGCUUCAAUUUAAUUUUUGUUACUUAUUUUUAAUGUUUUCAAUAUUUUUAAAAGCAAGUAAAUAUUUGAACAUACCUUUAAAAUAUAUAUAUUAAACAUAAAACAGAGAGAUUAUUCUAUAACACAUUAUUAUAUAUAGAAAAAUAAAAUUAUAAUUUCUUAGAGUAAAGCGGGGCAAAGCGGGACAAACAAUUAUCAUAACCAUUUUUCAUCCCCAUUAUCUAUAAAAAAAAGUCUACAUCACCUUACCCCACCGCAUCUACUUUCCAAAAGAACAAACCUAUUCUAUUAAAAACGGAUUAAUUUGAAAUCUAUCACGCAUUUCGAAUCCUGUAAUCUUAAUAUAUACCCUAUUUAUAUUAUAUUAUAUAAUAUUAAUAGUUUAACAUGUAUACAAUAAUAGGUGUGAGACAAAUAUUUUAUCACACACGUAAUAAGUGUAGUUGUAAUCAUGAUUAAUUUUGUUUUUUCAAUGUGAAAAUAAGGCAGCAAGAAUCAACAAAUCCACCGACUUCGAGUAAAGGAAAAUUGAACUCCCUUUUAUUGGAUAAGACAAGUUUGGGAUCAAAGCCUUUUCACAAAUAUAAAGAGUAUCAAAGCUACUCAUCUUCGUGAUUAUGCCAUUCAUCAUUCCAUUCAGAUUACGGAUGAGUUGAUUGAGUUUUAAUUCAAUUGAUAUAAAUAGUACUGUUAUUAAUAUAAAAAGAUGUAAAUUUGAGUAUAUUAAAAUGUAUUGUCCUCCUAUUUGUAUUUAUAGACUGAGGAGAGAUUAUGAAUAAUUCUAAAUAUUUUAUAUAAAAAAUAGAUAUAAUUAAAAUUUUCAAAAAAAAUAUUAUAAAUUAAUAAGAAAUUAAUUUUUUAUGUCUAGGGGUCUUAGUUUAAGUAUUUUUAUAUUUUUGGAAAAAUGCAAGAUUUCAAAAUAAUAUUUUCUUUUUAAAUUUCAAUAAUUAUAACUGUUUGUCAGAUGUCGAAAUAUAAAAUAAAAUAUUAAUACCAUUUUUUAAGCAGUUCUGUAUUCUUAUAGUAAUGUGAGAUUUUUAAUAAUUUUACCUUAUUUUUAAUGAUUUUAAUUUAAAUCAAAAUAAAACAAUAAUAAUGAAUUAAAUGCUCUUAUUUUUUUUAUUUUUCAAAUAACCUUUCAAUUAUGUUUAUUAAUAGGUUAAAAUAUGUCAUUAGUCCCUAUACUCAUUCUAAAUUUAAAAUUUCGUUAUUAUACUUUUAUUUUCAAGAAUUUAGUCUCUUUACUUUUUAGAUUUCAAAAUUUUGGUCUAAUCGAUAAUGUUGUUAAAUUUUUUUUUCGUUAAAAUUAUUGAUGUGAUAUUUAAAGAAAAAAACUCAUUUAGUAGUCAUAUAAUUAAAAAAAACAUGCAAUGUUGUAAUGAACUUAAAUUUAACAAAUUAAUUUUAACAGUGAUAACAAAUUAGACUUGAAUUUUGAAAUCUAAAUAGUAAAGAGACUGGAUCUCUAAAAAUAAAAGUACAGAGAAUAAAUUCCAAUUUUAAGAAGCGUAUAGAAAUUUAUGGUAUAUUUUCACCUUAUAAUAUCGUAUCUGUUCUCUAUUUCAUUAUAAUAGUUUUACCAUUCUUUUAUAAUUUUGAUUAAAAUUGUCCUCAAAACCAUAAAAAUAACGCAUUUUAAUAAAAAAAGUAUAUAGUUUAUUUAUUUGAAAACAAUAAAUGAAAUUAAUUUACUACUAAAAUGCAUUAAUUUAUCGAGUCUUAGUUUUAUUGGCAUAGAUAUUGUUAUCAAUGUAUGAGGAUAUGUGUUUAAGUGCGCUGAAAUGCAUCAUCUUCUUAUUUAUGGGCUGGAGAGGAGUUCUGGAUAGUUCUAGACAUUGUGUCAAAAAAAGAAUAGAUAUGAUCAUAACUUAUAAUGAGAUCAUUCAAAAAAAUAAAAUUUAUUGUGUAAUAAAUGAAUCAAACGUCCCAUAAAAAAAUAUAGUGCAAUGGAAGAAAGUAAGUGUUUAUAAAAAAAAAAAAUUGUUGUGUAGUAGAUUCGAUGUAGUUUAUUUACUAUUAAAUAGAUCAAUUAAUCACCAUAUUAGUAAAUAAAAUAACGAGGCUCUCAUGUGAUAUUUUUUUACUAUAAAAUUCCACGUUAUUUUAAAUAAUAAAAUUUAAAACAUUUAAAUUUGAAUUUAUUUAAAUAUUUUCAUUAUUAAUACAUUAAUUAAAUUAUAUCAUUUGAUAAUAAGUAGAAGUAUUCAUGGGCCGGAUUAUAGAUGUCAAGCUCGAGCUCAACCAGACCAUAUUAAUUCUUUUAAAAAUAUAUUUUUUAUAUAAAAUAAAACUUAAAAAUAUAAUAUAUAAAAUACACUAAAAACAUUAAAACAAAUGUUACCUAACAAAUUGAAAAUAAAUUAAAAAGUCUUUAUAUGAAGAUAGUUGCAACUAAAAUAGUAAUAAAAUUAACAAUAAAACAAAUAUUCUACAAUAGCAAAAUACUAGGGAACUAGUUAUGCAAUUCAGGUUGGCCUAGGUUGGGCUCGGACAAAAAAACCUUACUCGAAACUUGGCCUGUUUAGAAGAUGGGUCUUAUUUUUUAUUUAAAUUGAUUUUUCGAGCUUAUAUUUUUAUCCGAAUCCAAUAACCUUCUAAACGGGAUUGGACAAGGGACCAAUGAGAAAUGCGAAGGCCCAUGCGGGAAAAUGCGGGCUGCAUUGUGGCACAAAAUUAAGGCAAUAAGACUUUGAUGGUCCAAUCCACAAAAGCAAUGGUUCUAAUAUUAGAUUUAUUAUCAUAAAUCAUCAUAUGAAUCCACUUUAAUUAUGCAUUUUAUUGGAUACUCAAAUAUCUAAUUUUUUUAAUAAUAUUAAUUUUUAGAUUUUGAAUUUUUAAACUUGAUUAGAAAGCAUAAUCCAAAACAGGACCCGAAUUGAAUCAGAUAACCCGACUCCGGUAUUGCGUUUACCCUCCGAGUCCGAGCUUCUCAACUACCAUACUAAACAGUUGACUGGUAGAGACGAUCCCCCAAAAAUGGCAAGUUCCAGUGUCUCCUUCAUCAUCAUCAUCAUCACCACCGUCCUUUUGCCAUCCCUCUCUUCACAGCUGUCCGAUCUCUUCCCUUCCAACAACCCGCCGCCCUUCCUCGGCAAACAUUCGCACCCAAUCAAACAACCCAACCACCACCAACAAUACCAUUAUGAAACCCGGUAUUUUUCCCAACCGUUGGACCACUUCAGCUUCUUGGACCUCCCCAGGUUCCGACAACGUUACCUUAUCAACACUGAACACUGGGUCGGCCCUUCCCGUUCCGGCCCAAUCUUCCUUUACUGCGGCAACGAAGGUGACAUCGAAUGGUUCGCCGUUAACACCGGUUUUGUAUGGGACAUCGCUCCCCGCUUCGGUGCCAUGAUUCUAUUCCCAGAGGUAAAUUUAAGGUUAAAUUUUGCUAUUAGUCCCUGUACCUUACCAUAAUUGUGGAUUUAGUCCUUAUUUUGAUAACUUUACAGUAACUGAUAAAUUCCUUUAUUUAAAUUUAAUUAUUAGCAACAAAGGUAAAUUUAGUCCAUUUUCUUCAAUAGGAUGAUUUUAGGUUCCUUUUUCAAUUUUGGUAAGUUGACAUUGCAUUAAUAUGUUUAUCGCAUCUGAUUUUGUAAAUAACAGAUCUUAAUUCAUUUAAUUGUUAUUGAUUGGCAAGGACUGAAAUGUUAAAAGUUGAAAAGAAUAAGACUAAAAAUACCAAAUUAAAGUACAGCAAUUUUGCAAAGAGUAAUAGCAGAAUUUAACCUAAGUUUAACAAUCUAUAAUUUUUUUAAGGCAUUGUUUGGUUGAAACUAAUUGAAUUUUAAUGUUAAUGAGAAAUAAUUUAACAGCAUAGGUACUAUGGGGACUCAAUGCCGUUUGGAAGUAAAGAAGAAGCUUAUAGAAAUGCCACUACCCUUUCUUAUCUAACAGCAGAGCAAGCCCUUGCUGAUUUCGCCGUUCUCAUUACUAAUUUGAAGAAGAAUUUGUCUGCUGAAGGGUGUCCCGUUGUUUUAUUCGGCGGCUCCUAUGGGGGAAGUAAGCCUUUUUUCUUUUCUGUUUUUCAUAUUAAAUUGGUUUUUGAGGCGUUUAUGAAAUGGUAUAAUUUGAUUAGUGGAAUGGUAAAAUACAUUGCACAACAGGGUCGAACUUUGCUACGAAUCUUGAACAUGGACAAUAAAACGAGCAUAGAAUAUACCAAAAAAGAAUUGAUUAGUGGAAAGGGUUUUGAUUUAUGCCAUUAAUGAUGCAGUGUUAGCAGCAUGGAUGAGGCUCAAGUACCCUCAUAUUGCUAUUGGGGCACUUGCUUCAUCAGCUCCGAUUCUUCAGUUUGAAGAUAUUGUGCCACCUGAAACGUUUUAUAACAUUGUCUCCAAUUCAUUCAAGGUUCUACAUAGAUGUUUUAAGUUAAUUUGGUCUUUAUAUGUCAUCAGUCACCUUCUUUUUUCCCCUUAUUUUGUUUUUAUUUCUAUAUAUGUAGCGGGAAAGUAGUAGCUGCUUUGACACCAUUAAAAACUCAUGGAAUGCAUUGACGUCCGAGGGUCAGAAGGAGGAUGGCCUUAAGCAACUGUCUAAAACUUUUCACUUGUGCCAGUGAGAACAAUGGAGGAAAAUUUGCAUACGUGCAUGUUGCUGUAGCAUACUAUAUUAUGAUUCGACGGAGGGAUAUAUAAAUUUUUUAGUGAUGUAGUUUUUGAAACUCUUGGCAGGGAACUUACAAGUGUUCAAGGUCUAUCAGACUGGUUGGAUUCUGCAUAUAGUUAUUUGGCAAUGGUUAAUUACCCGUAUCCUUCAAACUUUUUAAUGCCUUUGCCGGGACAUCCCAUAAGAGAGGUUAGUUGGAAUAUGUAUGACUUGAAACUUAUAUUAUGGAUUGCGCAGACCAUUUAUGGUUUUCUGCAUAUACAGUCACAAAGCUACUUCUCAAACUGCUCUUCCAUGGAUGUUCUAUUUUCAUUUGUUCUAUGAUGUUGUUUCUUUAUCAAUCAGUGCGCUAUUUCGGGGUGACAUUUUGUUAAAUAAAAAGUAGGAAAAAUAUCAGUUUAGGGUGACUUAUAAAUUAUAAUUGUUAAGUUGAUUAUGUACUAUUAUUUUGCUGUUUGUUGAUUUGCAUCUUUGCUAUCUGGAAUAAGCUUUGAUAAAGGGCGCAUUAGUGUUACGGCAGUUCACGUCACUUGCAGCUCUAUUUACUACAAUUUUAUGAUUCUUGAAUAUCUGCUAUUGGUAAUGCAAGCUUCAUAUGUAGCUAACUCAGAACUUACUGUUGUGAAUGACUUUGAUGCACCAUGAAUAAAGGUUAUGAUUUGCUUCAGCUACUUUAUUUAAGAUAAUAUUUCUGCUUUUACUGUGGUCCAUUUUCUUCAAUGCCAGUCCUGAAAAAAUUCUUGGUUCGUGGUUAAUAUUCAAUGAUUUUGAUAUGGAUUUGUUAAUCUUAGAAAUGUUGGUGUUCUUAAUGUGAGGAUGCCUAGUGUAACUCUUAGAUGUUGCUAGUAUUUUCUUUCAUUGUGUUAUUGCACUCUUUGCAUAUAAUGUUGCUGUUAUUUUGGAACUCGGUUUUCUUGUGGGGUCUUGGCCGGUAUCCAACUUCGUGUUUCAAAUAUGUAUAAUCACAUUGUAGGUCUGCAAAAAGAUUGAUGGGUCUCCUGCCGGGUCUAGCAUUCUGGAGCAUAUAUUCAAUGGAGUAAGCGUAUAUUACAAUUAUACUGGAGAGGUUGACUGUUUUCAACUUGAUGACGAUCCUCAUGGCAUGGAUGGGUGGAACUGGCAGGUCUUGUGAUCUAUUUACUUUUUAUUCUAUAUCAGUUUAAUAAAUCUCCAAAACAUUAUAUACUUAUGCAUUUUUACUGAUUGUUUAUGUCAUUUCUGGUUCUCGAUUUAGGCAUGCACUGAGAUGGUUAUGCCGAUGUCUAGUGAUCGAAACACUAGCAUGUUUCCAGCAUAUGAUUGGGAUUACUCUGCUUUCCGAGAAGGGUGCCAGGAGGAUUUCCAGGUGACACCAAGGCCUAGAUGGAUAACAACCGAAUUUGGUGGACAUGUAAGAUAAUAUAAUAUGUUACCAUAUGUUGGCUAGUUCCUUCAGUUUUGCAUCGCUUUUUUAGUCUUCACUACGUUGAAUGAACAAUAAUGUUUGUAUGAAGGAUAUCGAGCAUGUAUUGAAAUCCUUUGGAAGCAACAUCAUAUUCUCAAAUGGUUUAUUAGAUCCUUGGAGUGGUGGCAGGUUAGCUCCUUAUAUUGAUUUUUAUCAAAGUUUUAAUCAUCUAGUUUCCAAUGAAUGUUCAUGUUAUUCUUUGCAGUGUUCUGAAGAAUAUAUCUGAAACGAUUAUUGCUCUCAUCACGAAAGAAGGUAACACAUUCCGAAGUCUUUUACUUCUUAAUGAGUGUGAUAAAUCAAGAGUUAGUGACGAAUAUGGAUAUGCUGUAGCUUGUAUGUAGAAUACAGCUAAACAUCGUAAACUGAUGAAUCUUUCAGGCGCCCAUCACAUCGACUUGCGUGCCUCUUCGACAGAGGACCCUGACUGGUUAGUGGAACAGAGGGCAACCGAGAUCAAGCUGAUCCAAGGUUGGAUUGAUAACUAUCGUAAGAAAAUGAAAGCAACCUUUGAGAUAUAGAUAUAAUUUGUGUAAAUAUAGGUUCUAAGGUAUGCUUCUGGCCAUGUUUCUAUGAUUUAACCUGCAAUGGAUGCACUCAUUUUAGAGGAAAAUUGAUACUUUGUGAGAGCUAUGAAAUGUAUGUCUCUCUCUCUAUAUAUGAUCACUAUGUCAUUGCAAUAUGAGUUGACCAAUCAGUUUUUCUGGUCAAUGUAUUUUAUUUUUUCUAUAUACUGCCUAGAACUGCCUAUAGCCCCUCCCUAACCUUUCAUUAGGGGAAUAAUGCGCUUCAACGCUCUUGAGCCCAUGUCCUCCCGACUUAAUCGGCUAUAGUAUGAAUAUAUUUAAAAUAAAUUAAAAUGACAUGUUUUAUUUCAAUUAUGUCAGUGGAUUCAGUUAUGAAUUUCAAUAAAUGCUAAUGGAUCAAUUUAAUAAUUUUAACCAAAUCCUUCAUCGAUUUAAUUAAUAUAACUGAUUAAUUUAGAUAUGAAUUCUAAAUUCCAGAUUAAUCAAAAGUAAGUAAAGAUAAACAUAAAAUUAAGGUUAAAGCAUAGUUAUUGUGCUCUUUGUAAAUUUAAAAUUUAGUCUUUUUAUUUUCAAGAAUUUAAUCCCUAUACUUUUAAAUUUCAAAAUUUAGGUCAAAUUGUUAAUUGCACCUUAAAAUUAUUUUGUCAACUUUGUUGGUGUGAAUGAAAAAAAAUAUGUUAGCUUGAAAGGAUCAACUUGAACUCAUCGAUAGGGAGGUUGAAUUGACAUUUUAGAAAUUGUCCUUGAACUCAUCGAUAGGGAGGUUGAAUUGACAUUUUAGAAAUUGUGGUGGAAGCAAUGAAAAAUAUGCAAUAAAGAAUAGAAUGAUUUAUAAUGGUUCGACUCCAAUUGCCUAUUCUAUUACCUUAGCUUACCAAAGUAUUUUCUCAAAUUCACUAAUUUGACAACCUUUGCCCAAACCUUAAGUUACAAACCUUCUUUCAAAGAGAAAUAAGUAAACAAAGAAACAAUCUUUACAAGAUUAGGAUGUUUGCCAAUUAAGUACAAAUACAAAAAAGAACAUUUGAGCUAAAUGAAUAUAAUGAAAGCUCACAAGUAUUUUCAAGAAAAAGAUAUGAAACAAUUAAGUUCUAAGUUGUUUUGAUUGAACUUUUAAGCUUUGCACAUGUCUCUUGUUGUUGCUAAACUAUUUAUAUCAUCUAAUUGAUUUUCAACUGUUGUAGUUGUUGUAGAAAUAAAUAUAGUCAUUGGAGAUGAAAUACCGGGUCAUUAACUUCACUUGUAGCAACGAGUAUCGAUACCUACUAAAAGAGUAUCGAUAUUUUUUGUAAUUAACGUUGAUUUCAGUGACCGUUGGAGCAGGAAUAUCGAUAUCUUACCAGAUCGAUAUCUACCAGGAGUUGAAAAUGGUAUAAUGUCAAUUUAGUAUCGAUAUCUUGUAAAAUAUCGAUACUUAGACAAAAAGUUUUGAUACUUUUUGUCCUGGAGCAAUUCUAACUUGUUUGAAAAUGAUUAAAACAUAUUUGAAAAUGUUUGACUCAAUUGAAACCAUUUCAACUUAAUUUUAUGAAAUUGCUCAACUUUACUUUUAUUAAAUAACACUUUAAUUUGUUAUAUCAAAACAUAUUAUCCAAUAAGACUUUGUUUAACAAAAUACUUAUUUAGUAGUCAUAUAAUAAAAAAAUGAUGUUGUAAUGACUUGAAUUUAAUAGAAAUUUUUUUAAUAAUGUUAACAAUUACACUUAUAUUUUUACAUUUAAAAAGUGGAGGGAUUAAAUUUUUUGAAAUAAAAAUAGAGGAACUAAAUUCUAAACCUAAAAAAAUAUAGGGACUUAGAGGACAUUUUAACUUAAAAUUAAAAAUUAAUUUUGGGCAAAUCAUGAUAAAAUAUUUGAUUGUAAACUACAAGUUGCCCCACAAAGAGGAUCUUUACAACGAAUUCUAGCCGUGGAUUAAUAUUUAAAAAAAAAAGCAAAAAAAAAAAAUUGAUGACGUGGAACGUUGACUGUCACUCUUUGGAUCUUUACUCUCAUCUUUUCCCUCCAUGGCGGCCCAAAUUUCCUAAUACGACACCGUCUUUCAUUUCACCCACAGUAGAAACUUCUUUUUUGUCUUAGCGAUUUCCUCUCUAAAGAACAAAAACCCGACUCAGUGGUGACCCGGUGACUCACUACUUUUGAUUCUUUUAUCUCUUUUCAGCGGAGAAUACAAAAAAAGGGUGAAGAAUCCGACCAAAUCCAGCUAAAUCGUACGGGAAUUAGGGUUUUAGGGUGAGUUGAUCGGGCUUGGAAGAUGGCGAGCCCGUUCACGCCGGGUACUGGUAGGGCUUUGUCGAUAACUCCGGGGUCUAGGGUUUCGAAGAGUUCUCUUGGUGAUGAGACGAUCUGGAAGCGACUCAAGGAAGCUGGAUUCGAUAAGGAAUCUAUCAAGAAGAGAGAUAAAGCUGCCCUUAUUGCUUAUAUUGCGAAGCUUGAAGCAGAGGUCUGCUUUAAAUCUUUAUACUGCUUAUCUGAAUUAAUUUUCGUGGUUUUUGGUUUGCUGUUUAUUUCCCUUUUUUAAGGUUUUAUUUUGUUUUUGGUGCAAUAGGUUAAAGAAAAGAGUAUUAGUAUAUUUUGAACAUUUAAAUUGUGAAUUGUGAAUAUGGAUACAAAAGACGAUAUAUAUAUAAGGCAUUUCAGUUUUAGAUUUUUUACUGGGAUUUAUGGGGUCAAUUUUCAAUGUUGAGCAACCAAAUAAAGUCUUGAACAUUGCUCGUGGUUAGAAAUUUUGUAUUUCACUUGAACGCUAAAUGCCAAUUUAGUUGCAUAACAUGUGUUUACAUUGUAUGAGCUUUGAUUGAACAAACUUGAUUUUCAUUUACCUGUCUGUUUGCACUUUUUGGUCGAGGUGUUGUUUCUGCUUGUGGUACCAUGGAAUUGAGUUGUUAAUUUUGUAGGUUUAUAAGAGCUUUUAGGAACAUUCAUGGUUUGUUUGUUUCUAGCUUCUUUUAUUUGUUUCAUCCUCGUUUUGGUCAGUUUUUCUCGCCUUUGUGUCAUUAUUUUGGGGUUGAGUGCUUUUUAUGUGGAUAUUUUUCCUUAUGAGUUUUUGCUCUUGAUAGUUCCAAUGGAUGUGUAUUAUUAAGCUGUGAUAUUUACCUAUCUUAAUUUGAAAAUGACUGCUUUGUACAAAGGAUAAGAGUGUGGAGUGAAGGCAGUCUUGUUUUAGCAUAUGAUGAUCCUUGCAUCAUUCACAUGUUGCUCUUAAGUUCAUGCUGUAAAUCUUCAUUCAUUCUCUGCUUCUUGUCUCACAGCUUACUAACAUAUUUUUAAUAUUUAUUUAUUCUUGUAUGUAGCUCUCUGACCACCAACACCACAUGGGCCUUCUUACAUUGGAAAGAGAGGAAUUGGCUUCCAAGUAUGAAGAAAUUAAAGCCUCUGCUGAAGCAACCGAGCUAAUGCAUAAACGAGAUCAAGCUGCACAUAUAUCUGCUCUGGCAGAAGCAAAAAAGCGUGAGGAUGGUUUGAAGAAAGCUUUAGGAGUUGAGAAAGAAUGCCUAGCAAGCGUAUGGUUAAUAUUUGAAGUCUCUCUUUCUUGUAGUUUUUUUUUUUACAUCUCUUUGAGGACCAUAAAUUUCUUUGGGCUUUGUUGUUGGAUUUUAUAGAUCGAGAAGGCUUUGCAUGAGAUGCGUACAGAAUCUGCUGAAACUAAGGUUGCAGCUGAAAGUAGAUUAGCUGAAGCACGUAUUAUGAUAGAGGAUGCUGAGAAAAAGUUUUCAGAGGCUGAGGCAAAGUUUCGUGCAGCAGAGUCUUUACAGACAGAAGCUACCUUCAUCCAACGUGAUGCUAAGAGAAAACUCCAAGAAGUUGAAGCACGUGAAGAUGACCUUAGUAGACGAAUUUUAUUGUUCAAAAAAGAGUAUGUCAUAUGCAUUGCGUUUUCCUUUAUGUUGUUUGUUCCAUCAUUUGCUUUUUUGAUUGUUUCUCUGUUUUAUUUCCCCAUCAGUUUGCAGUUGAGAUUCUCUUAUUUCCCAGGAAGACAUAAUUGUGCUUUGUAUAUCUCUCUUAAUUAGUAUAAUGUAGUCUUUUCUUUGCUGAAUUUCAAUAUGGAUUAGGUCUUGUAAUGAAAAGUUCCUAUGAAUAAGAAUCUGCGACAUGAUUGCUUGGUAAUCUAUUUAAGCUGUUUAUAUGAGACAGACAUGAUUGAUUGCAUGUUGUGAAAGUGAACAGGUGAAAACUAAUUGGCUGUGGCAGGGUGGUUUUCUGCUGAUACAUGCCUACUUUGUUGCAUUUUACGGUUUGCUGAUGACAUUAUAAUUCAUAUGAUAGCUUUUUCCAUGAUUUCGUAUUAUGCAACGAGCCUAUAAAUUCAAAUAAAAUUUUGUCUCAAUGAGUCGUUAAUUUUUUGGUUCUAUGUUUUAGUUCUGAUGCAAAAGAGAAAGAGAUCAACCUUGAACGGCAAUCGCUGAGUGAGAGGAAGAAGAUUGUACAGCAAGAACAUGAAAGACUACUUGAUGGACAAGCUUCCCUGAAUCAAAGAGAGGAGCAUAUUUUCAAUAGAAUGGAAGAACUAAAUCGUCUUGAAAUGGAGUUGGAGGCUUCAAAAGCAGAACUUGAAAAGGAACGUAGAGCUUUGAAGGAUGACAAAUCCAACCUUGAGUUGACUUUAGUUUCUCUAUCAAAAAGAGAGGAGGUUGUGUAUUUCCUUUGCCCAUAGCAGUUAUGAUUUGGAGUGCACUUUCAUGUGAAUUUGUUUAUUUUACCUCAUUGAAAGUCAUAAUAAUUCAGUUCCUCCCAUGCAGGCCGUUAUUGAGCGAGAAGCUUUGCUUAGCAAGAAAGAACAAGAGCUGCUUGUUUCUCAAGAGAAACUCGCAAACAAGGAAUCUGUGAGUUACUUUGUUGAGCACUCUUUAGGAUUUUCAACUUUGUUUCUGUUUCUUUUAUGAGAAAUUUAUGCUUUUGAGUGAAUUUCAGAAGGUCAUUGCUAGUCAUGAAAAUGAAUUGAGAACCAGAAACUCUGAGUUUGAGGCUGAGCUUGAGCUCAAGCGCAGAAUGGUGGAAGAUGAGAUUGAAAUGAAGAGACGGGCCUGGGAGUUAAAGGAGAUGGAUAUAAAUAACAAGGAGGACCAAAUUUGUGAAAGAGAACAUGGUCUUGAUGCUCGAUUGAGGAUAUUAGCAGAGAAAGAGAAGGAUGUAGCUGAGAAGUCAAAUCUCAUAGAUGUCAAAGAAAAAAAUAUGAGUGCUUUUGAAAAGGAACUUGAGUUGAAGAAAGCUGCUUUAGAAAAAGAAAAGGAAGAGAUGAGUAAAAUGAAACUAGAGCUUCAGAAGUCAUUGUUGUCAUUGGAAGAUAAAAGAAAUCAAGUUGAUCAUGAAAAGGAGAAACUAGAAGCCCUGAGAAGUGAGACACAUGAAUUAUCAACUUUAGAAUUAAAACUGAAGGAAGAACUUGAUUUGGUUAGGGCUCAAAAAUUGGAGCUUAUGGCUGAUGUUGAUAGGUUGGAAGUAGAGAGGGCAAAAUUUGAAACUGAGUGGGAGUUGAUUGAUGAAAAAAGAGAAGAGUUGCGGAAGGAAGCAGCGCGUGUUUGCAAGGAUAGAGAAGAAAUUUCGAAGUAUCUCAAGGAUGAGCGUGAUAGAUUGAGAAGUGAGCGUGAUGUGAUGCGAGAGCAGCAUAACAAGGAUGUUGAAUCAUUGAAUCGUGAGAGAGAGGACUUCAUGAAAAAGAUGGUGACUGAGCAUUCUGAUUGGUUCAACAAGAUUCAACAAGAGCGUGCUGAUUUCUUGUUAGGAAUUGAAACCCAAAAGAGGGAGCUGGAGAAUUGUAUUGAGAAAAGGCGUGAAGAAUUGGAAAGUUCUUUGAAGGAAAGAGAGGAAGCUUUUGAGCGAGAAAAGAAAAAUCAACUUGAUCAUAUUAAUGCUCUAAAGGAAAUAGCGGAGAGAGAGUUGGAACAAGCUACUCUAGAAAUGAAAAGGCUCGAUGCUGAGAGGACAGAAAUCAAGUUGGAUCGUGAGCGAAGGGAACACGAAUGGGCUGAGUUGAACAAGUCUAUUGAGGAGCUUAAGGUGCAAAGACACAAAUUGAAGCAACAGAGGGAAUUAUUGCAUGCUGAUAGAAAAGAGAUACAUUUUGAGAUUGAAGAGCUAAAAAAGUUGGGGGACUUGAAAGCUGCUUUGGAUAAUAUGACGGUGGCUCAAAUGCAGCGCUCUAUUGUAGAACGUAGCCACCUGAAAGCAUCCGAAAGAAAUAAUCUGAAACAGCAAGCUGUCCUGCAAAAUGUGGAAUCUGGUUCAGAUAAAAAUAAGAUUUUUGCUGUGAAUGGCAAUGGAUUCAACUCUCCGAUGGCAAAACCAGAUAGCAGUCCCUCUGGCUCUGCCCGUUUCUCUUGGAUCAAGCGCUGCAGUGAAUUGAUAUUCAAACAUACCCCCGACAAGGCUCAAAUGAAGCCUGAAGAAAGAUCGUUGGAAUUGGAUGGAGAACCAAAGAUACUGGAAGUGCCCUCUGAAGGUGAGGUUUUUGAAAGAACUCAAGCUGGAAGGAAAAGGAGACUUGACAACAUACCUUCAAAUGGCACCAAGAAGAGUAGGCAAAAGGAUGCUUCUGUACUUGAAGUAGAGGAUAACACUCACCGGUAUCCACUUCUGUACUUGCAUUAUUUUUUAUUUUUUCAACAUGUUCUUUCUUGAUGCGCAUAGCUCACUUUUCUUUACAAUAAAAUUUGUUCCUUUUUCAGUGUACAUUCAACUGAACCAAAUGUAGUGCUGGAUCAGCCUGAAUUAAUGUCAUACGAUCAAAGUGAAGGAGGGGCUGAUGAGACCAAUGAGUUGAUUGUUGAUAGAGUAAUUAAUAUUUCUGAAGCAAUCCAUGUAAAAGAGACUGUAGAUGAUUUUUCCAAUGUAGAAAAUAUAGACCAGUUGCAGGAUACGGGAGCGAAGGAUAAAUCUGGGGAACUAUUAGCGGUACCUAUGGGGAAUGUUUCUCAACUUACUAUCCCUUGUCAGGUAAUUUCUGGUCGUACCUAUUGGCAAGUUUCUUGCAUGCUGAUGACAUUAUGAACAUUUUACUAGACUCUUAUUUACAAUUGAAUUCUUUGCUCUUCUCCCCUUACCGAUAUAUCAACAUUUUUUAACAGUAGCACUUGUAAUAUGCAUACAAGUUGAUCAGGUAUUGAUACAAUUUCCAUCUUGUAGGAAAUGUUCCUUGGCAUAUUUAGUCAGAGCAAAAUCACCUUCUUAUUGCUGUCUAUGUUUUCUUAGUUUGAUAUAUUCUUCUUUAGUUACGUUCCCUUGUCCGUCCUUAUUCUGUAUCCCUAAGGUUCAUGCAAUUAUUUUUAUUCUGCAGCCAACGGAAGACAUGUUGGGAAAAGGCAAACAAAAGCUUGAAGACAAUGUUACUGUCCGACCAGAUGACAAAGUGAGAACCAGAUCGAGGGCAGGGCUGAAGCAAUUGUUGUAGAAAUAUAGUUUCUUUCUAGGUGCUAAAGUUGAUUGAUGUUUCAACUAUUUUUCACAAAGGUACUCUUUUCUUUCCCGCCUUCCAUCUUAGCCUACUGUGAAAGCAUGAAUUAUGAGAGAUCAAUCAUUGAACUUAAAGCAGCCUUUUCUAAUCACUCCUUUUGGUGUAUUGCAGAAUAGCUGAAAACACUAAUAUAUACUUGAGAAGGGAUAAGUUUGCGUUGCAGUAACUAAAAUAAGCAAACCGUUUUAACUAACUCAGAUCUUGUUUAAAAGAGUGAACUUGUCAAUGAUUGUGCAUCCUCUUCUUUCUUCAGGUAUGGCUUUUUAGUAUAUGGUUUUCUGAUAUUUUCUUGGUUCAUUGGGCGAUGGUGUGAUGGGUUUUGGUUGAGAGAGUCUUGUGUUGGUUUGGUGGCCGAAGUGAUGGCAAAAUAUUAGUGGUUUAUCGGCGUAGUUUGGUAUGUGGUGUUGGAAAUCGUUGGGGACGGAUUGAUGCUUUAGUCCCUAAGAUCUCUAAAUGUGUUUAUAUAUGAAUAGAAAAUGAGGGAAUGCGGUUUUAUUCAUAUCCCGGAACUUUGAUAUGUUAUUUUUAUAUAUUAUAGAGUUGAUCAUGGUUUCUUGUUUCUCUGUUUCUAUUUUUUGCUGAAUAUGAAUACGUGUAUGUAUUAAAAAUAUAAAGCUGAUUAGCUGAUUGCUCGCUUAAAGUUAAAGGCAGCGCUUUCUUUUGUUUAUACUUAUUCAGGUAAAAACUUCAGUAUCCUUGUAACAGUUAAAACAACAUAAUUGUUAAUGGAGAUUACCAUUUUUGGGUUAAAAAACUAAAUAUUUAUUAUGCCUGUCAACAUUCAUUUUCCAUAGAUUCCCUUUAUGUCUAUUUAUAUAUAUAUAUUUAGAAAUGUUAAAAUUUACAAUUCCAAGAGCAAAAGUAUGAGUUAUAGUUAGGGGUAAGUAAAAUUAGUGAAGUUUGUGUUGUUCAAGUCGGUUUUAUUGGUUUGGUUAUGGUCUCGAUUAAGUUAGUCAUUAAACCAAUUUAGUAUAUAUUAUUUAUUUUACCUUCAAAAAAUAUGUUUAUUUUAAAAACACAAUAAUAUAUAUAUUUUUAUGUCAGUUCUGUAGCUUUCCUAGAAGAUACUUAACAGCGGGUGGUUUCAUAACACUUUUUCAAUCAAGCAAAGCUUGGUUGGAUUUAUCAGGAAGCUGGAGGAUUAGAACCAAAUUUUUGAAAAUGAGUAUUGGCUGUUCAUUUACGACCCAACAUGAAAACAUGCUUUUCACAGACAACCAGCUUUUCUCCAUCACCUACAAUGGGUUCAACCAAAAAUCUUAUUUUGUUUUGACUUUUAAAAUGAAAUUGUUAAUGACAUACACUAAUCCAAGGCCAAGGUUUCAAUUUUCAUUCAAAUAAUUCUAUUGAUGUAAUAUGCUUUAGAGUUCAAUUUGUUUUAGUAGUAGCGAUUAACCCCUCAACUUAGGUGCUUUAUUUUAAACUUCAAUGCAAAUCCUUCACUAAAAUAAUCAGGUAAUCCUGAUAUCCCUUUGAAGGGCUUUUAUUUAUUUAUUUACAGAAACUAAAUUUCCUUCCUCUACUACAAUUGCAAUAUAUAUACAUGAAACAGAAACUAACGACAUGAACAAUAACAUAAUUUUAUAAUAAUAAUAACUCCAUGGAAAAAAAAAAGCAUUAGUUUUGAUGAUAUUUAUUGUAGUUAUGGUCAUUGGUUAUGUUUUCUAAUAUUUUAUUUUGGUUACAGUUAUUCUAACAUGUAUUUGUAGUUGUGGCUGUACUCAUGUUUGUAAUUAGGAGUGGCAAUGGAGCAAAGCAAGGACGAAUAUUGCUAAAUCCAUUGUGGCUUCAUAGUUGGCACACUCUAUCUUACCAUUUGACUGCUUUGUUUUGAAUGUGUAAUCUAAAAAAUCAGAAUCACUUCUAUAAAUGUUAGAUGCACCCAUUCCUAUUCUAUAAAUGUUAGUUAUUUUUAAUAUUUUUGGCCCUUUUGAAGGGAAGUAAGUUCUUCAAAAGAAAAAGUAAACAUAAAGCAUGAGUUUUUUUUUAUUAUGUUAUAAUACAUUUUUACUCUUUUAAUAAUUAUAUAUACAAGAGUAAAAUAAUAAUUUUAUAUAGUAGAGUAAGUUGAGAUAAAGUAAGCAAUUGCCAUAGUUCCAUAUCCAUUGUAAAAAAAAUAUCGGCUUGCUUCAUCCAACAUUCACUUUUAAAAAAAAAAAAAAAGUUUACUCCAUUCAAUCGUAAAAGAUUCUUUACUAUUGUAACCUAAAUAAAAUAUCCGCUCAAUUUGGAUUUUGCUAUUCCUAUUAUAACUAAAAGAAUUGCCCAAGCUUUUGUGAGUUAUUAUGCACAAAACUUUUUUGUUAAUUGAAAACACAAUAUGAUUAUUACCUGCGUUUAUUAGAUAGGUUGGGUUAUGUUUAGAUUAAGUCUAUUUAUAGUAUUUAUAUCAUACAUAGGGAUAUUAUUGCCUAAGCUUGGCUUAUAUUACAAAUGAGUAUACUUUUUUAUCCAACCCUUUUUUUUAGUCUAAUAUUUUUGCCUAAACUCUCUAAAAUAUUGGAUGUGAGUUUAAGCUUAAACGAGCACUUGAACCUUUAAACAAGUCUAAUAACAAUGGCCUAUCAAGAAGUCAAGCAUGCAAGAUUAACCGACUUAAUUGACAUAUAUAAUACAUUUUAAUUAUUUUAAAUAUAUUUAUAUAAUAAAUUCCAAUUAAGUGAUUUAACCUAUUGAACUGAUGUUAAGUCAACUACACCCAUAAAAUUCAGUUAAUUUAAUUAUAGUAGGAGGAUUAAUGCUCUUUAUAUUACUCAACCCAGUUUUUGACAAAAGAAACCAAAGCCAUGAAAAUUGAUUGUAACUUCGUUCAUGAAAAUUUUCUGAGCAAUUUAAUUUCUACUAGCUAUAUGAAGAUAAGAGAACAAAUUGUUGAUUUGUUUAAAAAACACCACAUGAAAAUCGAGUUGAUUAUGUAUGUGACAUGUGAAUGAAAAUAAUUUUCACUUAUCUUUACAAGGAAAAAGAAUCUUUCUAGUAUUUUCUCCAUACUUUUUUGGUAAUUAUAAUUUUGUCCUUAUUUUCCUCUAAGUCGUCGACAACGAAAUCUCCAAACUAUACAAUAUCGACAUGCUUUUGCUUUCUUAAUUCCAGAGCCUGAUGACUAAAACCUAUGAUAGCUAUAUAAUAAUAAAUUGAGUGCUUAAUUUUUUUUAUCAAUUUGCUUUUUUUAAUUAAAUUUGAUUAUUAAUUUUUAGAAAUAGUCAAAUUACAUUUUUUUAAUGGAAAUGUUAAGUAAAAUAAUUUUUUUUAAUUAUGUUGGCAUGGUAAUUCACGUGACAGUUCAUAUAUAUUUUAUGUUCAUAGAGCACUAUUUGUUGUAUAUGUCAUAUCAACAAAAAAUUAAAAAUUAUAAAAAUGUUUUAAAAAAUUUAAAAGAUAAAAAUAAAAAUUUAUAAAAAAUAAGCAUGAACCACACACAAAUUGCCAUGUACAUUGUCAUAUUUAAAAUUUUAGUAAAUAUUUUUGUUAAAAAAAUAUUAUAGUGAAAUUUGACUUUUUAAAAAAAAAAAAUUAACAUCAAAUUAGUUUAAAAAAGCGAUUAAACCUUUUUUAUUGCUUCAAAACCGCGUUAUAACUCUAAACCUGUAUUAAGCAUUAAUUAAAUUAAACCCUAAAAAUGUUCAAAAAAGGCACAUAAAUUUCACUUUAUAGAUUUCUUGCAAGCAACUCCCCAAAGCUUUCGUAUAGUUGGUGGAUCGACUAGGAAACAAAAUCGAAAACCAGUUUUUACCUUUAUUUUCAUAUAAUCUAAACCUCCACAAAAUCUUACUUUUUGUUGACGAAAUAUGUUGCACACGUAAAAUAAAGAAAAAGAAACCACAUUAUUGAGUGUUAAAACUUGAAUAUGACAUUGUUAAGAGAGAACUAUGAACCCUAAAAGAAAAAAAAGAAAAAAAAAGACAGCUAUUUAUAUAAUUAUAAUAAAUUAUUUCUAUAUUUGAUCAUCCAUGGUGGAUAUAGCAUAAACACACUACGAAUCCCAUAUGGGCUGAGUGCAGUUUCUCUGUUUACAAAUUAAGAAAUAACUUAUAAAGAAUAGGCUUCUUCAAAUCUCUAAACAACUCCUACCCUUUCUUCUCAGAUAUCAAUAAAAUGUUGACACCGAACACAGUUGAUCUCAGUCCCUGUUGGAUCUCUAAACAGCUUCUACACCUUUCUUCUUAUAUAUAUUUAAAUCCAUAAUAUGUUCACACCGAACGCAGUUGACACCAGUCUGGUUUGGAUCUCUAAUCUUCUCCUAUCAAAUACAUAAAUGCAUGUUCACACUAGGUAAAAGUUAUGGCUUGAAUGACUUUAUCGUUGAUCUUGUUCAUUGAAGGAUUGAAACGGUAACCUGAAAAUCCAUUUCCCAACGUGGGAUUCUUUCCUUAACUUUUCCAACUCUUGGUGAUUAUGUUUUUUGAUGGAACCAACGAAGGAUUUUAACCUUUGCAUGGCGAGUUCAAGUGUAUCUUCCGACAUGUUAGCGAAACAAACCCUAAACCACCCUGGUUCAUUACAAUGGCACGAAGAACCAGGAGAAAUGUUGAGUUUAACAUCGUAAAUUAUCCUUUCCCAAAGCUCCAUUUCAGCUUCAAACGUGUCGGAGCUUAAAAGAUGUCUCAUAUCAACCCAACAAAACAACCCAGCAUUGCUUUCUAAGCAACGGAUCCCUGAUUUUUCCAGGCCGGAAACCAGUUUCCUCUGUCUCUUUAAAAGCCUGUUUUGGUUUUUAACAAUGUAAUGGUUCCUGAAUUUCUUGUCGGAUAACAUGACUGAAAGAAGGUACUGAGUUUGUGAAGAAACAAGACCGAAACUCGACAUUUUCACGGCGGCGGACACGACGGUGGGAUCGUUGGAAUAAAUUGCACCGACACGAAAACCAGGGAGACCCAGAUCUUUAGAAAGGCUGUAAACAAUAUGAACUCUGUUGUUCUUCUCCAUGUUCAUGUCUUUUAAAGCUUCUAUUAUGCUUAUGAAGCUUGGGGAAUUAAACACGGUGCCGGAGUAUAUUUCGUCACUGAUUAAAUGGAUUUGUUUUUCGGUGAUGAAGUUGAUGAGCAGGUUUAGUUCGGGUCUUGUCAUUGUUGUGCCUAAGGGGUUUGAUGGGUUGGUGAUUAAGAUUCCUUUCACUGUUAAGUUUUUUUUUUGUGCUUGUUGAUAAGCUUCUUCAGUGGCGGAUGCUGUGAUUCGGAAACAAUUGGAGCUGGUACAGUGGAUCGGUACUAUCUCAACACCGGUUCUCCAUUUGAGAUCUCUGUCGAAUCUGUGAAACAAUGGCGGAAGAAAAUAAUUCAUAUAGUUUGUCGGCACGUAUUUGAUGAUUUCAUGCAUAAAGUAACAGGUAAAAUUUUUAUUUUAGUCCUUCUACAAUGCUAAGCUUUGACAUUUAGUCCCUAUAUAUUAAUUUGACUUAACUUAAUCCUCUACUUUUACAAUCCCAUUAGUUAGUCCAUUGUUAGCUAUUUCGAGUAAAAUAUGUAUAUGGAUUUUUUUUUCUUAAAAACACUGCUUUUAACUCAUCAUUUUAAGGGUGAAAUUAAAGGUAGGUAAGGACCCUAGCCCCAAAAAGGUAUAUCUACUUUUUAGUCCUCUAAAAAAUUUUAAAAUUAAAAGUUACUAUGGUAAAAAUUAUAUUUUGGCCUCUUAAAAAUGAAAAAAAUUAUAUAUAUUUUCUUAAAAAAUGAUGAAAUCAUAAGUUCAUGCAUGAUAAAAUUACAGUUUGAUCUCUCAAAAAUUUACAACUAAAUUUCACCUCUAAAAAAUUUUUUAGUUUCUCUCUUGUAUCAGGUUGACAUAAAUUUUUUGUGUUGGAAAAGGUGUUUUUAAGAAAAAAAUAUACAUUAAUAUUUUAACCAAAAUAAUUAAAUAUUAAUGUUAUUCUAAAUCUAAAAGGAUUAAAUCAUGUCAAACUAAAAUGCAAAAGAUUAAAUAUCCAAUUUGAUCAUAAUAAGGGGACCAAAAUCAUAAUAUUGUCCUUAAUAAAACAUACCCCGGGUAAUACGGCGUAGGAAGAAGAAAAGCAUCGCAAUGUUCAGCAAGACAGAACAUGAGAGUUUCAUUGGCGGAAGUUGCACCGGCGGUGAGGACUAUGUUAUUUGGAUCAAAACUCACUUUGUUUCCUCUGAUUUCAGCCAUGAAAUCAACCAAUGCCUGUUCAUAACAAAUAUCAUCAUCUUUAUUUCAUUUAUAUCAUUAAAAUAAAAUGGAAGUCUUUAUUUUUAUAAGCUUUAUAAAGCUUAUACCUUUUUAAAUGCAGGAAGGCCGUGAUAAUCUUGGAAAAGAGCAAGCUCUCUAAAAAUGGAUUGCCCAUCUCUCUUGCACCCUACAGCUUCUGGGUUUUUAGCCAACCAUGUCUCUAAAAGAUCAAACGACAGCUGCAAAUAAUAAUAAUAAUAACUGCAUCUUUAAUAAGCUAUAUAUAUAUAUAAAGAAUCCCCAUUUUUAUGGGUUUUUUUUUUUUGAAUUAUUGUGAGUUACCUGAUUCUCUGCAAGACCCAUUUGAAUGAUACCAUUAGGGUUAUGGAGAUGAUGGUAAGGGUUUUUCUCAUAUUCAAGCCAUCCUAAGAAGUAAGAAGAAUCUUGGCCAUGUGAGUUGCACGUGGCUUUUCUUGACAAUAACCCCAUUUUUUAUCUUAUUUGAUGCCACCAAAUAUGAUAUGAUACUUUUAUUGCAAUCUUGUGUUUGUUGUUGUUAAUGGAGAUCGAUUGGAUUCAGCUAUUGCUAUUGGGUAUAUAUAUACACAUUUAUUAUUCAAUAAUAAAAAUUCAUAAAUAAAAUACUUGACCAACCUGUAAAGUCCAUGCUGAAUUAGGACUCUAAUGUUUGAAACUGUGGCCCUUAUGUUCCCUUUUAUGUCUUACCCCAUAUAAUCCAUGUCGGCCACUUUGUUUAAUGUCCCUCAUUCCUUUUUUUAUUAUAAGCUCAUAAAUUCAAGGUAUUAACUACCCCAUGGACGGUGGAGUUUGGUAAAUCUUUGUUCCUCAAUGAUAAAGCAAAAGAAAAGAAAAGAGAUAGGCUUAGAUUCCUUAAAUUCUAUUAUAAUAUAUGUUUAUUCAAUUCAAUAUUCGAUAAUACAUAUAUAAUAAAUAAGUUGUUGAUCAUUAGAGGUGUUUAUGGGUCGGGUCUAACAAUGAUGUUUACAUACUUUUUAAUGUGUUGAGUGUUGAAAUCGUAUAUUCGACUAGUCUAUGAUGUAGAUUUCACAUGUUUUGGAAACUAACAAAAGUAAAUAUAUAUAGAAAUGUUUGGCUGUAAAUGAAACCGACAUAUGAUACCCUCCCCCCCUUGACAAGUUGCAUAUAUACAAAGGCAAAUUCAACUUUGUCUCAUCUUCCUUUUCUGUCAUGCUUAGCAUUUCUUUGAAAUUCCUUCAUUUUAUUUUCAAUUAGGGUUUUUCCCCUUUUCCAGGACUUGAAGAAGGCCACGUGGUUUUGUUGUAGGAGAAAGGUUAUUUAGACAUGUGAAUGUGAAACCCUUGUUUGGAUGAGUCGAAUUAUAAAAAUAAGUAGGAGUCUUGACUCCUUUAUUUAUAUAAUGAAAUUGUAAUUUGAUAUUUAGAAAUUUAUAAUUUUAUUUCGAUUUUUUAAUUUCAAAAUUUUCGAUUUCACCGGGCAGCCCCAAUAGGCUAUCUUAAUCUAUUCCUCAAUCUUCUUAGGGGAGACAUCAAUGGACCCAUCCCACCAUUAAUGUAACCUUUUCUUCGGUAACGUAGGCCCCUCUCCAACCCUCCAUGAAAUGAUCCCUUUGUUUCUUCUUUAUGACAUUGAUGCCUUGUCGUGGGUAAAAAUCUAAUUCAGUACCCAAAGAAAGGUUAUCGAAAAUGUUGCUUGGACUUUUUAAUUUUUUUAAAGUGCUCAGUAUCAAUAUUUAUAUCUCACCUAUAUUUAGGAAUCUAAUUAGGGAUGAAGUUAAAAAAUUUAUUUAGAGAUUCAAGAUGAAUUAUAAAAUUUUAAAAAAAAUGUGUUAAAAAAAUUUAGAUUAAAUUAUUAACUUUUUAUAAGACCAAAAAUGCAAAUUCUACUUAAUGAAAAGCUAAAAAAGACUUAAAUUUAAUGUUUUAAUUUAUAGGAGGGCUUAAAAUAAAAUUUUCCAACCUAACCAAAGGGGUUAAUGCCCCUGUUUGCCUCUGAUUAUCUCCCAUAACAUAACCUUCAAUAACCUCCAAAUAUAUGAAAAAAUUUAUUUAUACUUUUCAGGAAUAUACUUAUAUUGAAAUUCAUAUUUGAAUUGAGUUUACCUCCUUUCUUUUUUAAAAGUCUAUUUUGAUUAAAGACUUUACAUAGAAUAUAUAUAUAAAAGAGAAAACAAGGAAUAUAAGUCGUGGAAACAUUGAACUACAAAAAAUUCAAAGAUGAGAUGUAGGGUUUUUUCGUGUGUGAUUGAAGGGUUGAGGAUAUUAGUAGGAAUUAUAGUUAAAAUUUGCAAUGGAAAUUUAUAUAUAAAUAGGAUAACUUUGUGUUAGGUCAAAUUCGUUUUCUUGAAGCUUAAAAAUGGCUUUUGGACGGUUUUUAAAUUGAUUUACGAAAACCUUAGUGUUCAAGUGAUGUGAUGUUCAUGUUUAUUUUUCUCUAGGCUUGGUUGGAUAUUAAUCAAAUAUUGUUAAUUCCACAAACAUAUUAAACAUUAAUCAAACAUCUCUUUUAAUUUCAUUUUAAUUAAUAUCAGUUCUACUUAAAUCUAGCUAAAAUCUUAUUUCAUUGUUGGGUUUUAAAUCUUAAUUUAGAUAGAGAGGAAACUGAGUUAUGGUUUAAUCUCGUGUUGAUAUGAUAGUUAAGGUGUUCACCGCUUCAGAUUUAGUUUGAAUUUUUAGUCGCGCUAAUUGUAUUGCUGUUAGGACUUUACUCUUUUCUAAUAAUUCACAAAAAAAAAAAGUAUGGAAGAAGGUUAAAUAGAAAGGAGCAAAGUAUAGGAGAGAUUCUCGCGAUUAUAUUGUACUUGGAAGUUGAUUUUUGCACAUAUUUUAGUCAUGUAUUAGCUAUAAACUAAUCACAAUUGUUCAUUUUUAGCCACUCAUAUGACUUGCUUGUGUCAGAGAAAGAAAACCUUUUACUUAUUUUGAAGAUGGUUUAUUUUUUACAAGUGUUUUUAUUCAUCUUCUAAUUUCAAAUUUAAAUUUGAACUAAUUAUUCUUUAUUUUAUGUUUAAUUAUUUUAACACAUAUGUAUUAAAUAAUUUUUUUCCUCGUAUUAUUACACUAAUAUCCAGCCGUAACAUUAAUUAAUUAAAAUAUUUAUUUAAAAUUAUUAAAAUUCUAUUUGUUAAAUAUCAUUAAGAACAUUUAUAAAAUAUUUAUUAACAAACUUGGAUUAAUUUAAAUAACUCUUAAAAUAAACUGUACGCAUCAAUAAAAUUAUAAUUUGACAUAUUCACAACAUUUCUUAAAUAUAAAAUAAUUUAAAACUUAUAUUAUAAAUCACUUUUAAUCUAAAUUUUUUAAUCAUAACUUUUUUUUAAUUUUUAUCUCAUUAUUACAAUUAUGUUUAAAUUUAAACACAUUUAAUUGUAAUUAAUUUUACCACGAUUAUUUUUAAAUUUUGGAACACUAAUCUAUUUGUUACCACUAGCAAUGUUUUGUGCUUCACGAAACCUAAAAAUCUAAACCCUAUUUAUCAUGGGCUGGCAUAACAAAUUUCAAGUGACUAGAAUUUAUAGACAUGUACCCACAAUAAUUUCAUUUAGUCUAGUGUUAUAUAUCCAAAGUGGGUCUAGAUGUUAGCAAAUUAUGAGCAACCAGUGCACUUUAUUCUAAUAUAUUAAAGGAGUUAGUUUUAAAUUGAUUAACAUCGGUAUUAUUAUCAAUGUAAGAGAAUGUAGGUUUAAGUGUACUGAAGUGCAUUAUCCUCCUAUUUAAGAGUUGGGGAGGGACUAUGGGUAGUUCUAGUCAUUCUAUCAAAAAAACAAAUAUGAUAAAAAAAUUAAUGUUUAAAAAAAAUACAUCAAAGGAGCCUCUUACCUUUAUGAGCUUGUUCUUUUUUUUUUAAAUUAUUGGUUGCAUUAGUUUAUAUUAAAAUAAUGACAACCAGACCAUGCGGUUUGCCCCAUUGAUUUUAGUUCAUUGUGACUUGAUUGUAUCCAUCCUAACUUAAAAGUGAUUGUUAAAAUUUGAUACCAAUUAUGCGAUGGUAUGACAAGUUUCAAAUGAAAUAAUCCUUGGAGACUAUUUUGGAUUUUUUUUUUUAUAAAAAUGACUCAAAAGUGUUGAUUAUUUAUGAAAGUGGUCCACCUUGAAAAUCAUGUACGUAAAUAAUCUGUUUUGAACAGUAAAUCAAGGUGUUGUUGCUGCCAUUGGAAGCAUCACCCAUCAUAAUCACCUAAUGAUUGAUCUCUUAGAAUAAAAAAUGAUUUCUUUGGGUGUCACUGUUGACAUUGGUGACGCCAGUAUAAGUAUACAUAUACCUACUCGUUUAAAGUGAUCGUUUUCCUUAAAAAAAACAAUAAUUUUGUAGAUAGGUGCUGCCAAUGUCAACACACCAAAAAGAAAUUCAAAUUUUUUACAUGGCUAAAAUUCAAGUUUUGGGUCAUUUGUAUAAAGAAAAGGUAGAAUCAUAAGGGCAAGGUGGUGGGCGUUAUCAAUUGUUGUUGAAGGUAAAGAUCGUUUUUAGGGUUUUAUUCUUUUAGAAAAAACACAUCAUAAAGAAAGAUGAUUCUAACGACAUGUAAUCACAGUCCAAUAUUUUUCUUUCGACACUAUUGAUCUUGAAAGUGAUUGUUAAGUCUCUUUUCCUCAUUUUCAAGCAAGAGACUAAUCUUGGGUGUUCACUUGCCAUAACCCUUAGCUUUAUGCAAAAUUUUCAUGAGAUUGUAUAACAGUAUAAAUGACAUAUUAAUGUUUAAAAUUUAUUCAAAUUAAUUUAAAAAAUACUCAAAUUUAAUUUAAUAAUUAUACUAAAUUCAAUCCCAAGUAACUUGAGCAAGCCGAUUGCAAGCACCAUAAUAUUCUAUUCAAAACUUUAUACUUUUAUAUUAUAAAAUUAUACGAAUUCAAUUUUGAAUACCAAUGAACUUAAUCAAACUCAAUUAUUGAUAAAUGUUUCAAACUUAAGUAUGAAAAUUGAUAAAUGACUUAACUAGCUCAAAUAACUAAAUUAUGUUUCGAACCGAACUUAGAAAUUAAUGUUUAAUUGAACUUGAGCCGAGUAUGAAACUCUGAAUUUCAAAUAAACAUGAGCUUGUCGGCUCAACUCGAUUACACUAAGGAUAGAUACCUAUUAUCAAUAUCAACCGAUUUUGACCAGUUUGUGUAAGACCCAAUUCUUAUAGUCACUGGAUCAAUCCAACUGGCCAACAUGGUUUUUUAUUCCUACAAUAGUGACAAAUAAGUAUAGUAGCAGAUUCAAGAUCAAAUUAAAAAAAGCAUGCCAUAGGAAGACAAAUAGAAAUAUGAGUAAUCUCCUAAUGGGAAGCUUGAUUUACUUCCACAUUCAGAAAACAAUAUAACUAAAUAAAUGCAUGUAUACAACAAAAAGAUGUACUUUUCCCCAUCGAUUGAAUUAAUAAAUAUCAAACCUGUAAUGCUAAGGGCAUUAAACCAUUGAUACCAACGUCUCUUUUACCAAAUUUAGUUCCCCAACAGAGUACAUGUUGUAUGAGAGCUGAAGAUAUUUUUACUUCACCUUCAAUGCAUAUGACAACAAAAAUAAUGGAAAUCUGAUCUUGAUGACUUUUCUCUUUGUAUCAGUGGAAUGGAUUUAGGUGGAAUACUUGACAUGCUGGCAGGUAUGAACUCUUUGAUGUAGCCUGCUCAAACUUCUUCACGGCAGUUACAUUUUCUUUUAAGCUGAUUUGGUCGAAAAAACGAAUCCACCAAGAGGAACUCCGCAUUUUAGCCUUCAGAAACGAAACAGAUGUGUUAAUGAUAAGGUAAAUUUGAUCUUGAUACAUUCCGCAAAACAAAAAUGCUGAAUGACAGUUUUGAUUUUCGAUCAAAUGAAAGUUACAUAUAUACUAUGGUUCGUUUAAAUUCCAAAUCCUGUUGUUAUAGUAGAUGGAGACUUACUGGACGGCCGAAUUUCGAUAGUUCUGCCACUUUAGCCUUCUGAUGACCAGGGGUACCUGAUCGACAAAUGAAAAUAUAUCAUGUUAUAGUUAUGGUACAGCUUUUUUGCAAGAAAAUAUAUCUGGAUAUAAGCAUUUUCGGCCCGAGUAACUCUUGUUUUAUAAUUUAUAUAGAACUUGAAAGAGUAAGGGAUUACCUGCGAAAAUAAUGAGACCAUCAGAGGCAACCCUGGCCAACUCAAGCAGAGUCUUGUUCAGGUAUUUUGGAGAUAAGUAAUCAAGUGCAUCAGACACAAUAACAAGAGAAAAAGACUUUGGCUUAUAGGGAAGAGGGUACUUGAUAUCUGCCACACGUACAAUCCCUUUGCCCACAAGACUCUUGCAACUUUCUUCAACAUCCUCUAUAUCAUAUGGUUCCACACCCCAGGCUUCAGUAUCCUCUUCUUUCAAAAGUUUAGAGACAACUGAACAGGUAUCGGGUCCUACAUGCAAAACCUUGUGCAUGCUGUCCCCAUAUGCCUUCUUCAAAAAUGGUAUUGCCCUCUGAACUUCUAGACUGCAUGUAUAGUCACCUACAAAGAUAACAAGAAAUAAUUGAUUUUCAGAACAUUACACUCAAUGAAAACACACCCUUAACAGAGCAUGGCAAAUCCAUUAUAAUCAUAAACUUUCAGUCUUCCAUUUAUCACAGAAGAUGCAAACCAUAUCUAACUAAUAAAACCACCUCUGAUAAUCCCUUUUAUUCCUCGUGCCAAAAUUAAAUAAAAUCCCACCUUAUCUUUCAACUUUCCUUCCUCUAAGAAGUUAAAAGUAUCAUGGAAACCCCUAUACUAAGAGUCAUAUUGCAUUUUGCUCCCUCUACUAAAAAAUAGGCAAAUUAGUCACUGUUUAUUCGAUCAAAGAGCAAAUUGGUCUUUUCUUUUAAAAAUUUCAUCCCUUUGUAUUGUUAAAAACUAACAUGGAUAAAAGAAUAACUAGAUAGCGACACAUACGUGUACGUCCUGUUGACGUACAAGAACUAGUUUUUAAAGGUAAAAAUAGAUGAAAUUUUUUAUAAAAGGACCAAUUUGCUCUUUGAUUUAACGUAUAAGGACUAAUUUGCCCCUUUUUUUUCGUAUAGGGGCCAAAAUGAAAUCCAACUUCUAGUAUAGGGGCUUCUAUGAUACUUUUAACCCUCUAGAAAGCACUUCAGGAGAAGAUUAUGACAAAUUAUAAGAGAUUAUUCUAUGGUACAAGUAUCAAAUGCAAGAAAGCUCCAUAACCUUGAGAUGCAGAAUAAGGCCUCUAAGAUCAAUAUUUUUUUUUGUCCAAAAUAUUCUCUCCAAUGAAUAAAAAUAUCUUAUAUAUAUGCUCUCGGAUACAUAUGUGCAUUGAAUCUUAACUAAAUUUGAUAUAACAUGUGAACUCAUCCUCCCAAUUUAUCUACUCUACCAAACAAAGCAUUAAUGAAUCCAAUAAAUAUUCAAGUAGUUCCAAAGAGACAUGAUGACAUCAAAAUCAAAUAAAAAUCAGUAACUUAACGAGUUAAUUUCAUUAUGAACAUUAAAUCCAAUGAAGAAGAAAGUAAAAGCAUAACUUACCUUCGAUCCGACUAACCGCUUCACCUCGGAAUUUACCUAUAAACGCGAACAGUAUGAACAGUGUGAACAAUUAAUUGAACUAACAAGAUCAGCAUAUCCAACAAACAAAAACAAGUAAACACAAAUAAGAAAUUCUAAAAAAAAAGAAGAAUACCUGAACCACUAUAGGCAUAGCCAAUGAGAAGGAUAGCUCCCUGUAAACCAUUUUCAAAAAUAUUACCCUAGUUAAUUUCCUUUUCAAAAUGUAACACUAACUGAAAAUUUCAAAAAACAAAAAAGAAAUGAAAAGAUAAAGAUAUACCACAACGACAAGAGCGAUAGAUAAAAUAGGAGAAGAUCGGGCUUUAGAAUGUAAAGCACCAGAGAACGGGAAGUUUCCGCUGUCAACAAAGCGGCGUGUGGAACUUACUUGCCUCCUUGACAUUUUUGCUUUGCUUUUUACUCUUAUAAUAAUAUAUUUUAUGUAAUUGCUUACACUCUACCAAGCAAACAACAGAUUUACACAAAAUUUGAGCAAUUUCAUUGAAAAAACAAAACAGAUCCAAAAACAUGAGAAAGCUAACAUAAAAUGAAAGAAAUUAUGAAAUCAAAAAUCAAAAUUCACCUUAGAUUUGGAUUUUGGAUCUGAGAUCUGUGAAGGAAAAAAAGAAGCUUAUUUGGCUGUUUUUUUUCUUCGAACAGUAUACUAGUUUGAAUUUACACCAUUUUUGGCCAAAAAAGAGAAUUUAACAGCUAGUCGAGUUUGAAAGGGACUUGGGUUGGAUUGGAUACUCAGUAUUUUUAUUUUUAUUUUCAAUUUUUUUAAUUAAAUUUGUUUUUGCUUAAAGCUAAGAUCCAACGUGUUUUAGCGCGCCUUCGGGAGUUGUGUGAUACAUAUACAUAUACAGUUAUUAGCGCGUCGGUGAUAUGAUACGACGUCGCAUCAAUAGCUCGAAUAGCAAUGACGGCUAUUAGAUUUAAGGAUACCCUGCAAGUAAAAUAACAUUUCCUUCAAAAAAAAAUUAUAAAGUAAUUAUUAAAUUAUUUAAAACUUUUCGUUUAGAUAACUGGACUGUCAAAAUUUUUGUUGUUUAGUUUUCUAUUUGCAUAGCAUUUAUCAAUUGAAAAUUUUUAUUCCUCUUAUUUUUUACAGUUCAAUUUUUUUUUAUGAAAUAACUUUGAACGUAAUAAAUUUGAGAAUCAAAAUUCAACUAAUUUUUUUCUCCAGUCUUUGAAACUAACCAUCCGAUCGACUUAUAUCUAAAGUAUGUUCUACUCAUUAAUGAGUAUUAAUCACUACAUCGAUCAUUGAAUUUAUUAUUUGGAGUUCACUAAUAAUCCAAUGACAUAAAGAAAAACUUUUGAACAGAUCGAUUUUCUGCAUACUGGCUUGAAAGUGAUAGCAAAAUUUUGUUGCCCCAAUGGCAUGUUGAGCUUGAAAUGAAGAAAUAAAAAUCAAUGAAUCAUGUGCAAAACAUUUUGAAAUCAAAGUUAAAAGCAAUCUUAAAAUAAUCUAAAAGUUAAUACAUGCCAAUGAGUGCCAAUUACAAUACCAAUUGGAAAUAUAGACUACCUUGUCUCAUUUCAUGUUACGAGUUAUUUGAAGAGAAGACAAAUAGAAAUAUGGGUAAUCUCAUAAUAGGAAGCUAGAUUUACUUCCACAUUCAGAAAACAAUAUAACUAAAUAAAUCCAUGUCCACAACAAAUAGGUGUAAUUUUCCCCAUCGAUUGAAUUAAUAAAUAUCAAACCUGUAAUGUUAAGGGCAUUAACCCAUUGAUACCAACAUCUCUUUUACCAAAUUUAGUUCCCCAACAGAGUUACAUGUUGUAUGAGAGCUGAAGAUAUUUUUACUUCACCGUCAAUGCAUAUGACAAUAAAAAUAAUGGAAAUUUGAUCUUGAUGACUUUUCUCUUUGUAUCAGUGGUAUGGAUUUAGGUGGAAUACUUGACAUGCUGGCAGGUAUGAACUCUUUGAUGUAGCCUGCUCAAACUUCUUCACCGCAGUUUCAUUUUCUUUUAAACUACUUUGGUCGAAAAAACGAAUCCACCAAGAGGAACUCCGCAUUUUAGCCUUCAGAAACGAAACAGAUGUGUUAAUGAUAAGGUAAAUUUGAUCUUGAUACAUUCCGCAAAACAAAAAUGCUGAAUGACAGUUUUGAUUUUCGAUCAAAUGAAAGUUAAAUAUAUACUAUGGUUCGUUUAAAUUCCAAAUCCUGUUGUUAUAGUAGAUGGAGACUUACUGGACGGCCGAAUUUCGAUAGUUCUGCCACUUUAGCCUUCUGAUGACCAGGGGUACCUGAUCGACAAAUGAAAAUAUAUCAUGUUAUAGUUAUGGUACAGCUUUUUUGCAAGAAAAUAUAUCUGGAUAUAAGCAUUUUCGGCCCGAGUAACUCUUGUUUUAUAAUUUAUAUAGAACUUGAAAGAGUUAGGGAUUACCUGCGAAAAUAAUGAGACCAUCAGAGGCAACCCUGGCCAACUCAAGCAGAGUCUUGUUCAGGUAUUUUGGAGAUAAGUAAUCAAGUGCAUCAGACACAAUAACAAGAGAAAAAGACUUUGGCUUAUAGGGAAGAGGGUACUUGAUAUCUGCCACACGUACAAUCCCUUUGCCCACAAGACUCUUGCAACUUUCUUCAACAUCCUCUAUAUCAUAUGGUUCCACACCCCAGGCUUCAGUAUCCUCUUCUUUCAAAAGUUUAGAGACAACUGAACAGGUAUCGGGUCCUACAUGCAAAACCUUGUGCAUGCUGUCCCCAUAUGCCUUCUUCAAAAAUGGUAUUGCCCUCUGAACUUCUAGACUGCAUGUAUAGUCACCUACAAAGAUAACAAGAAAAUAAUUGAUUUUCAGAACAUUACACUCAAUGUAAUACACCCUUUCCAGAGCAUGGCAAUUCCAUUAUAAUCAUAGACUUUCAAUGUUCCAGUUACCACGGAAGACACAAACCAUAUCUAACUAAUAUAACCGCCUCUGAUAUCUUACAACUUACUUUCCUCUAAAAAGUUAAAAGCAUCAAAGGAUUCAUAUUACAUUUUGCUCCUUCUACUGCAAAAAUAGGCAAAUUAGUCACUAUAUAUUAGAUCAAAAAGCAAAUUGGUCCUUUCUUUUAAAAAUUCCAUCCUUUGUAUUGUUAAAAACUGACAUGGCUGAAAUAAUUAGACAGUGACACGAGGCACUAUCAAAGGAAAGAAAGUCCCAUAACCUUGAGAUGCAGAAGCAAGGCCUCUAAGAUCAAUAUUUUUUUUGUCCAAAAUAUUAUCUCCAAUGAAUAAAAAUAUCUUAUAUAUACGCUCUCGGAUGCAUAUGUGCAUUGAAUCUUAACUAAAUUUGAUAUAACAUGUGAACUCAUCCUCCCAAUUUAUCUACUCUACCAAACAAAGCAUUAGUGAAUCCACUAAAAUAUUCAAGUAGUUCCAAAGAGACAUGAUGACGUCAAAAUCAAAUAAAAAUCAAUAACUUAACGAGUUAAUUUCAUUAUGAACAUUAAAUCCAAUGAGGAAGAAAGUAAAAGCAUAACUUACC
rnacentral:lncRNA from 1 species